GUGGAAGGAGAUGAAACUUUGGACAUUAAUCAAAUUAAUCAUAUGAUGUAUCAUUGUGUUGAUAGCUACUUUUCUCUAUUACUUUAGGUCCUUUUAAAAUAUUUUUUUGCCUUUUUUUUUUGGAAGCACAUUGACAUGUGGAGUUUUAGAUAUGGUUUAUUAUAGCUUUUCUUUUGAAGUUGGAUUAGUGGGUUACAUGUGUAGUACUUUGUGGAAAGGGAGAUGAGAAGGAUAAAGUAGUACUUAAUACAUGAUAUAACCUUCUAUGAAAAGGUACUUUGGAUAUAUAUAUGUAUUUAAUGGGAAAAUGAGAUGGUAUAUUGUGUUAUCUUUUAACUUGUAUUUCUUUAUUUUUCACUUCUUCUUGUUGCUGAGUUUGCUUUUGCAACUUGCCACCACAAAACCUUCCCAAACCCAUUUCUAAUCUAGUGGCAAAUUCAAUUAUAUAUGUUUGUGAGUUUGAUAGAACUUAUGUUUUUCAGUGGAAUUAUUUAUAUAUAUGCGCCAAAAAAUAAGUAGUAGCAGAGCUAGAUAUACAUUUUAGCAUUCAUUUUCUGACUCAAAAUUUAUCCGUCUUAAAUUUGAAUAUGUCCAUGACAAACCUUAUCCAUAUUUCGUGGGUAUAGAGAUUAUAGACAAUCAUCAUAAAAAGACAAAAUGUGCUCAAAGAAACAAACCACCACUAUUAUAAAAUCUUGAAAAAUGAGCAAAAUGAUUAAAUUCAUUGUCUCGAAUUUCGAAUAAAAAUUUAUAGCGUUUAGAUUAGUGGAAUUUUGAAUACCAAAAGCACUUAGAUUUGGUGAUGUUGAAAGGAGCAGCAGUUAGGUUUUUCAGUUAUAGAGUUGUUAAAAUUUUGUGAAGUGACUGUUGCUAGACAUUUGCCGCAAAUGUCUAUUAUGGAUAUUUGCGUGUUCUGCUGCAUAAUGUUCUGCCAUUUGUCUUACCAUCAACUCCUUUCCCUACGAGAAAAAGGGUAAACAUUUUGAGGUACUAGUGUCAUAGUGGUAUUUUCAAAUAAUAGCGGCUUGACACUCAAGUCAUUCUCAAGGGGUAGUUUCAAGUACUUUGGAUCGGUUAUUUAGGGGAUUGGGGAGAUUGACGAGGAUGUCACACACCGUAUAGGGGUGGGGUGGAUAAAGUGGAGGUUAGCGUCGGGAGUCUUGUGUGACAAGAAAGUGUCACUGUUACUAAAAGGUAAGUUUUAUAGAGCAGUGGUUAGGCAUGCCAUGUUAUAUGAAACUGAAUGUUGGCAGGUAAAGAACUCACACAUCCAGAAGAUGAAAGUAGCAGAGAUGAGGAUGUUGAGGUGGAUGUGCGAGCAUACAAGGAUGAAUAAGAUUAUAAAUGAAGAUAUUUGAGAGAAGGUGGACGUGGCCCCCAUGGAGGACAAGAUGCGGGAAGUAAGACUCAGAUGGUUCAGGCACAUUCAGAGGAGGAGCACUGAUGCACCGGUGAGGAGGUGUGAGCGACUGACUGUAGUGGGCACGCGGAGAGGUAGAGGGCGACCUAAGAAGUAUUGGGGAGAGGUGAUCAGACAGGACAUGACGCGACUUAGGAUUACUGAGGACAUGACCUUUGACAGGGAAUUAUGGAGGUCGAGCAUUAAAGUUGUAUGUUAGGGGAAACUUGUGAAUAUUUCUACAGCACAAUAGAGUGAGACUAGCCAGUUAGGAGUUAGACUAAGAAUGUCAUUGGUCGUCUAUUGAUGCAGGGCUUUACCUGCUAGUUUUACUAUACUAGCCAUCUAUUUCGUAUUUCGUAUUCUGUAUUUCAUAUCUCUUAUAUUGCUGUUAUUUUAUUAUGAAUUUUAUGGUACUAAUAUAUCGGCUCUUGUUGCUUUUUUUGAGCCGAGGGUCUCCUGGAAACAGCCUCUCUACCCUUCGAGGUAGGGGUAAGGUCUACGUACAUAUUACCCUCCCCAGACCCCACUUGUGGGAUUAUACUGGGUCGUUGUUGUUGUAGUAUCAUAGUGGUAUUCCUAUUUAUAUCCAUGCUGCCAAUCUGAUUGUUUUUAAAUUUUUCAUCUUAUCUUGAGACUCAAUUAAUUCAGAUUCGUAUCGAAAAAUUUCAUUUGGAGAUAAAGUGUUUUAACAUGUUUUCCAUCAAGAUUUCAUAUUAAGGCUCGACCCCGAGAUCUCUAAUUAAGAAUGGGAAGAUAUUUACCACUUUAUCACAAGCUUAAUGUGAUAGUCCCAUCUGGCAAAGGACGAAGAUACAUUAUCUUCAGGGGUGGUCUCGACGAAAAAUUACAUUGUAUAUAUAGGUAAAAAUAUUAGAUUUUAGAGUUAUAUAACAUAUAUUGAACACUCUUUGUCGAAAAGUUAUUUUCACUUUUUUAUUUUAUUUUGAACACCCAUAGAGAAAUCUCUGGCUUUUAGGGGUAAGACCAUCUCCAACCUUACCCCUAUUCCCCGUAAUGGAGGCAAUUUUGGGGUAAUUUAGCUCCAACCCUCCCCCAUUUUUGUUCCCAAAAUGGGGGAUGAAUAGUGUUCCCUCAAAUAUGGGGUACACUAUUCAUCUCCCUCAUUACUAUUCAUCACUUUAUUAUUAUUAUUUUAUUAUUUAAUCUUUUAAUUUAUCUCUUUAUAUAUACCUAAUUAUGUUUGUGUAAUGUCUUUAUAAUAUUAAUUUUACAUCUUNNNNNNNNNNNNNNNNNNNNNNNNNGAAAAUUUAAAAAUGAAAGAUAAUAAUAUAAUAUAGAAGAGAGAAGAAUAUAAAAAAGUUUGGAAAAAAAUGAGGGAAUGGUUGGAGUAAGUUUUCCCCAAAAUGGGAAAAUCCUCGUUUUGGGGACCAAAAAUAGGGUAAAGGUCGGAGAUGCCCUAAGCAUCUGGUUUGGAUAUAUAGGGGUCAUUUUAUUUACUUUUACUUUGUUUUUGGAAAGCUUCAUAAUGUGCCCUUGAGGUCGAGCUUUAAUUUAAAAAGGAAGACCUUUUUUGUAAAAAAAAAAAAGGAAAAAUAAUAAUCUAGAAGCACUUAGUCAACAGGUUUUGAAUUUCAAUUGAAUGUUCAAGUACCAAAUCGAUGGUUUUGUUGAUCACUUAGGUACAAGGAGAAAAUGAAAAAGAAAAGAAAGAGAUGAUGCUUUGUUUCUGCAUUGAUGACUUGGUCGUCCAUGUCCCUGCCCAAUCUUUUUUUCUUUCUUAUUUGUUUCAUGCAUUCGUAUUCGAAAAAGGAAUAGAGAUAUAACUGGAAUAAUAAAUUGAUUCAAAAAAACGGAGGCCUCGGGCAAUUUGCCGAAGAAAUAACUACUCGAAUAAAGAAUUAAAUUAAGAUGGAUACUGAUUAAACUAAAGGAAUUAAGCAUAUUUGGGUGAAGCAGAGUCAGAACUGUACGUUAGUAAAUUUUAUAUUCGAAAAUAUUUUCUGGAAAUAGAAACCAAGUAAAACAGAAUGGAGAAGAAAGCUGUAAUCAAUUCGAAUCCACUGAAUUUACGGUGUUUCUUUAAGGAACUUAGUCUUUUUUUAGUAUCCGAGGCUUAGAAUUAUUUUUUCUCAGAAUAGAACUGAUUACAUACACUGGUGUAGCCGAGGUCCUAGGAUUUUUAUGCGACACGGGCACAAUAUUCUACUCAACCAUUGCCCCCCAGGUUUUUAAUGUUCAAGGUGCCAAGUACUUUAAAUUAAGAGUCCAUUACCCAGAUAAUCACUCAACUUUCCGAAAUUAUCUAUCAAAGUAAUCUUUAUUUCAUUUGAAACAACAAAGUCAUUUAACUAUGUCUAUAGCACUCAGAAGGUCAAUCAACCAGAUUUAUUAAACUUUUGAUCACCAAAUACUAUUUUACUCUCUAAAUUAUCAAUUUUUAUCGUAUGUUUUUUUCUUUAUUAAUAUUAUGAUUUUUUUCUCUUUUUAAUCAACAUUGUGAACUUACCUAUAGAAAAAAAAUAUUUUUUUAAGAGAAUAAAAAAAAAAUAUAUUUUUCUAGCAUGUAAUGUCGAAAUAAUAAUAUAAUUGAGCAUAAUAUUCAAGAAUAUGUAAUGUAUAUUACAAAAAUAUUUUUUUGAAAUAAUUAUUUUCUAUAGUACGUGCAUGGAAUAUAUAUUUAAAACUUUAUUUUCUUUCAUUCUCAAUUAUGUAAAUAUAUUUUUGAGUUAUUUUGUUUGUUAAUACCAAAAUUAUUGUUGCGAACAAAUUGUUCUAAUUAACUUUCUACUAUGCUCAAUAUUUUAUUAUUCCAACACUAUAUAUGCUUAAAUACUAUUUUAAUUUUUCUAAUUAUCAAUAAAAUUUAUUUAUUUUAAGGUAAGUCCAUAAUAUAAAUUAAAAAGAGAAAAAAUUUAUUAUAUUAUAAAGCUAAAAAAAGAAGAAGAUAAAAGUUGAUAAUUUAGAGGGUAAAAUGGGUAUUUGACGAUCCAAAAUUUGAGAAAUCUAGUUGAGUGACCUUCUCAGUGCUAUUGACAUAGUUAAGUAACUUUGUUGUUACAAACGGAAGAAAGAUGACUUUGGUAGAUAAUUUCGAAUAGUUGAGUAACCAUUUAAGUAAUGGACUUUUUAACUUAACCAUUUUCAAGGUAUAUACAUAUACAGGAUUUCUGCCGAAGCUUACGGUGCCCACUGACUCCUCACUAUAACACAUAUUCACCACUAGAAAACUGGCAAAAUUCGUCCAAAGAAUAUCGACCGAAGUCGGUCGAAAAAACCGACUGAAAUCGAUCGAAAAUUAAGUAAAUUGGUCGCAAAAGUCAAAAAAAAUAUUUCUGACAACGGAAAUAGUGGCCCCAUAGAAAAAAAAAUUCGUUUGAUUUCGGUCGGAACUUGGUCAAUAUUUGACCAAGACCUAGUCAUACUAGUAUAUAAUCUACUAAAAUAAUUUUUUAUUAAAAUAUUUCAAAAUUUUCGACCAAUUUUGGUCGGAAUAUUUGAAAUUAUGCUUUCCCGCACAAGGCAAUUGGUUUUUAAUAUAAAAAAAUUAUAUAUAUUUAAUUUACCAACCGAAAUAAGUUAUAAUUAAAUAUUUCUGACUUAGUUUGAUCGGAAAAAUAAUUUUAAAAUAAUUAAAAUAUAAAUUNNNNNNNNNNNNNNNNNNNNNNNNNNNNNNNNNNNNNNNNNNNNNNNNNNNNNNNNNNNNNNNNNNNNNNNNNNNNNNNNNNNNNNNNNNNNNNNNNNNNNNNNNNNNNNNNNNNNNNNNNNNNNNNNNNNNNNNNNNNNNNNNNNNNNNNNNNNNNNNNNNNNNNNNNNNNNNNNNNNNNNNNNNNNNNNNNNNNNNNNNNNNNNNNNNNNNNNNNNNNNNNNNNNNNNNNNNNNNNNNNNNNNNNNNNNNNNNNNNNNNNNNNNNNNNNNNNNNNNNNNNNNNNNNNNNNNNNNNNNNNNNNNNNNNNNNNNNNNNNNNNNNNNNNNNNNNNNNNNNNNNNNNNNNNNNNNNNNNNNNNNNNNNNNNNNNNNNNNNNNNNNNNNNNNNNNNNNNNNNNNNNNNNNNNNNNNNNNNNNNNNNNNNNNNNNNNNNNNNNNNNNNNNNNNNNNNNNNNNNNNNNNNNNNNNNNNNNNNNNNNNNNNNNNNNNNNNNNNNNNNNNNNNNNNNNNNNNNNNNNNNNNNNNNNNNNNNNNNNNNNNNNNNNNNNNNNNNNNNNNNNNNNNNNNNNNNNNNNNNNUGUGUGUGUGUGUGUGACGAGCAAUAAAGCUUAUACAAUUCAUAUCAUGAAAUCUCAGUAAAAUACAACAAGCCUUUAAAAGCGUAGUUUGGAUCAACUCAGCUUAUUUAAAUCCAGAUUCAGUAAAAUCGUUUUUAAAAUGUCUUUCAACAGUUUUCAAACAAAGGCUUAAUGCAGUCGUGAGCAAAAAUGAUGAAAUCAUGAACAGCCCCAGGCAAACAUCACUCGUAUACAGCCCCUCAGGCAAACAUAAAUUAUAAAUAGCCACUCGGGCAAACAUAAAUUAUAAAUAGCCACUCGGGCAAACAUGAAUCAUAAACAACCCUUCGAGCAAACCUCACCAUCACUCAUAUACAGCCCCUCGGGCAAACCUCACAAUCACUAGUAAACAGCCCCUCGGGCAUAACAUCACUCAGAAUCAGGGUACCCGUGCUCACCGGGGGUGUGCAGACUCCGGAGGGGCUCCUUCAGCCAAAACGCUAUAACAGGCCAUCUCGUGGCAUAAAUCAAUCAGGCCCUCGGCCUCACUCAAUCAUGAAUCAGUAACAACAUGAUGCAGCGUGCAACCCGAUCCCAUAAAUAUCCUCACAAAUCAGGCCCUCGACCUCACUCAGUCAACAACCUCUCAAGCCACUCGGACUAUCAGUAACAACAUUGUGCUCAGUCCAAAACAAUAUUUUAUAUGCAUAAAAUAAAUGUAAUAAAGACUAAGUUAUGAAAUCAAUAAAUAUAACAUGACUGAGUAUAGAUUUUCAACCGAAACAGUGAGAGGAUAGUAAGAAAAAGGCCCCUAAGGGUCCAAACAACUCUGGCACAAGGCCUAAAUAUGACAUUCAACCCAAUUUAUAGAAAUUCUUUCUAAAACACAUAAGUAUCAUAUAGUUUCAACCAAAUACGCAACUUAUGGUUGCUAAGGGGCGAACCAAGUCACAAUCCCCAACAGUGCGCGCCCACAUGCCCGUCACCUAGAAUGUGCGUCACCUCAAAAUAGUAAAACGAUACGAAAUCCGGGGUUUCAUACCCUCAGGACUAGAUUUACAAUCGUUACUUACCUCAAACCGGUCAAACCUCUACUCCGCGAUGCUCUUGCCCCUCGACUCGGCCUCCAAUCGCUCCGAAUCUAUUCACAACCAGAACAAUACCAUCAAUAUACGCUAAUGGAAUGAAUUCCACAAGAAAAAUUAUCAAAUUAGGCACAAAUCCCAAAAUCCACUCAAAAUUGGCCCUCGGGCCCACGUCUCGGAAUUCGACAAAAAUCACAAAACUAGAAAGCUCUUUCACUCACGAGUCCAUACAUACAAGAUUUAUCAAAAUCCGACUCCAUUUGACCCCUCAAAUUCUCUAUCAAACUCUCCAAAAAUUCUAAUCCCUAACCCCUCAUUUUCACCCUUAAUCUUCACAAAUUACAUGAUUAAACAACGAGAAAUCAUCACAUAUAUGAGUAUUAGGGCUCAAGCCAUUUAUCUUACUGAUAAACCCUUGAAUUCCUCCUCAAAAUCGCUCUCAAAAGGUCCAAAACCGACUAAAAAUGAAAUGAACCAAAAUUCGCAAAGUCCACAAUUUAUACUUCUGCCCAGAGGUACCGCAUCUGCGGUCAAAAUGUCGCUUCUGCGACGCCGCACCUGCGGAAAAUCUAUCGCAGGUGCGGUUCCCACUUAUGCCCUCAGAACCUGCUUUUGCGAUCACAACACUGCACCUGCGGCUCCUGCCUCAGCUCUCCAAGAUUCCGCACUUGCGGUUCACCUUUCGCAUCUGCGAUCAUCGCACCUGCGGGUCCCACUCCGCAGGUGCGGAGACAUCAGAAGCAUCAACUUCAGCUGCCUUAUUCCACUUUCUAACUCUCCGUUAACCAUCCGAAUUCAUCCUGAGGCCCUCAGGACCUCAACCAAAAAUACCAACAAGUCACAUAUCAAGAUACGAACUUAGUCGAACCUUCAGAACACUCAAAACAACAUUAUAAUACCAAAACAUCCUCAGAUUCAAGCCUAAGAACUUCUAAACUUCCAGAUUUCGCAAAUGAUGCCGAAACCUAUCAAACCUUGUCCGAAUGACCUCAAAUUUUGCACAUACAUCACAAAUGAUACCACGAACCGACCCCAACUUUCGAAAUUCCAUUCCAACCCCGAUAUCAAAAUUUCCACUAUCGACCGAAAAUCGCCAAAUUUUCAAUUUCGCCAAUUCAAGCCUAAUUCCAUCACGAACCUCCAAAUCACAUUCCGGACGCGCUCCAAAUCCAAAAUCACCUAACGAAGCUAACCAAAUCAUAAAAAUCCAAACCCGAGAUCUAAUACUAAAAAGUCAAAAACUUAGUCAAACCUUUCAAAUUUAAAGCUUCAAGUUGAGAAUCAUUAUUCUAUAUCUAUUCCGAUUAACCUGAAAACCAAAACCGACGAUUUACAUUAGUCAUAAUACAUCAUACAGGGCUAGUCAAGCCCGAGAACUGGCGAGCGAAGUGCAAAUGCUUAAAACGACCGGUCGGGUCGUUACAUACUCCCCUACUUAAACAUAUGUUCGUCCUCGAACGUGUCCAGAGUUGUACCAAAAGCCAUCAAAUUGCCAUGUAUCCUCACUAUGCAUAUACCCAGGGUGAUCCCACGUCGUCCUAUCCCAUAUGGGUCCGAUAACACAACAUAACUGAAAUUUCACAAUCCAACCUAGCCCAUAAAUCUUAGAACCAAAUUUUCACUUCCGAAAUCAUCUAUAAGAUCAGAAUCUCAUAUCUAUACACUGUAUAAGUUUGAACAAGCUGUAUCAAACCAUAUCCGUAACCCAAGAUAAAUCACAUAAUAUACCACAUAACUCAAACACUCGUAGCGAUAACUUUUAAUCACAACAGCUGCUCAAACAACCUAAUACCGGUAAUAAAUCUUUUAUCAAACAAAACCUCAUUCCAACACUUUCGUAUACUGCCAAUGAUGAAAGAAACAUGCAAAAAUCAUAAUCAUUCCUCGGAUCAACCAGUCAUGGAGUUCCCUUUCCUUCGGCAAGAACCAUAGUAAAUUUCCAAGCCGAAUUUCGAUAUUAUCAUGCAGAAAUCGAAUUAGAUAGUAUUCAUUCUAGGUCUAAUGACCUCUUCUCAUCCAACAUGACUAUUCUGGUGACAUGACACAUCAAUACAAUCUAAAUCCACAACUCGUACAAUCCACGCACCAAUAAGCAACAAUCCAAAUAUACUCAAAUUAUGGAAAAAUGACUCAAAUGAGAGAGCUGUAUCGCAAGUUCACCAGUACCACCACAACACGAUGCUAAGAACCCAUCACACACUGUAGAAACAGAACACAUGAAUCUAACCCGAAGGAUCAUACCUCCACAUAACUUCGCUACAAAUGCGCGACCCUAUCCAAACACCGAUCUACAUGAAACACCUCAAGUUACCAUGCUCAAAAUCAACAACUAAUGAUACCCAAUUUUUCCUAUAAUGUUUUCAAAACUAUGCUUUGGCAUAAAUUAGCAUUUUUAAUACAAUUUCUGCAUUUUAAAAUAUUUUUACUAAUUUCUUCGAGCAUUUUAUUUAUAAAACAAUCACUAAUUGUAUCACAAAUGGUUUUAUAAUAAUUUUUGUGGUUUAAUUUUAUCAUUUGCAUUUGUACUAAGUUUCAAUUAUUGUAUAAAUAGUCCACUUUUGUAUUUUUAGGAUUGCAAUUUGCAAUUACUUUGCAAUUAUAGCCUAUGCAUGCAGUAUUACAUUAUUUCACUAGAAAAUAGCCCUUUACAUUUUUUAAAUAUUAAGUAAUUAUUUUUGAAUAUUUCUAGGCAUGAAAAUAUUUUAUUUUACAGCUUAUUAGGUAUUUUUAAAAAUUAUUUAUCAAUUAAAUCGGGUAUUUAACAAAUAGCACCUUUAACCAUAAUUAAAUUUGGACCCUUGGCCCAAUCAAAUACACCCCUAUCCCAAUUAAAACCCCAACCUAAUUAACCUAACCCAAAACCCUAACCCAAUUUUAUAACCCGUCCCAGCCCGGAACCAAUCUUGGCACAGUCCAAAACAAACCUUCCUUUUUUAUCAAACCUAACCCCCCGAAACCCUAAGCCAUUUUCACCAAACAACCGCACUGAAACCCCCUUUCCUAUCCAAUUCUCUCUGAGACCUAAGCCUAACCCUAGCCUCCGCCACCCAAAACCAGCCCUAAUACCUGUAAUUUCUACUCGAUCUAUGGCUUCCCAUGUCUGUAAGAGGCCUCUACUUGUCUCAUAUCUCCCUGGUUGUUCAAUUGUGUGGUUUUUGUGAAAGAACCUCGAAGAGAUCUGGUCCAGAUCUCGUUUAAGGCUUUUCAAGAGUUUGUCCAUGGUCUAUGAGUGAUUUCUAUCGAAGUUUCACAGUUCAAAUUCUUGAUUCAAAGGCCAGAUUCUCUUAUCCUUUCUCUUUUCUUCAAGAAACCCAAUGUCUGGACUUGAAUCAGUUCAGAUCUCCGUAGAUCUGGAACGAUCCUGAGUUUAUCGUUGAUUUUCCUAAAAGUUCCUUUACUUCUUUACUAGUUAAUCGAUGUCUGAACAUUUUUUGUUAUAUUAGGAUUUGUUUUCUUGUUGUUUGUUGGUCGAACCUCUAGGUAUCUGAAUUAAACAUCCAUGGCUACUCUUCUGGGUUCUUUUACUCCUUUAGUACUGACCGAUUUUUAAACACUACAAUACUUCAGGUUUUGACUUCUAUGACUUCUGUUUGUUCAAAUCUCUGUAUGUUGACAUGCCUUCGAGUUUUCUUCUUUAAGUGUUUUCAAACUAGGGUUUCAUCCCUUUAAGUUUUCUGCAAAAAUUCUAAGGCGUAAUACAUACGGAGACACCUAAAGUUGGCACAAUCUUUCACUUAGACACUUAAACUAGACCUCUUUCCGAUUAGACACGUUUCUUAGGCAAUUCUCAUACCAAUUAGACACGUUUUUUGCUGGCUUAUUAAUUAACCAAGCGCGUGUUCUGCAAUCUCCGUUUACGUGGCAAAAGUAACCAUUAUAAAUCAUGCCACAUCAUUUUAUUUGUCCACCUCACUGUCCACAUCAUCUAUAUAGUGUUAUUUCCGCUAAAAUACAGAUAACUAGCCCUAAACAAACAUCUAAACAUAUUACCAUUGUUCUUUUUACCUUCGAUGAAAACGAAGAAAGGUCCUACCACUGUUAAUCUUCUUCUUCUUUUUGUCAAUGGUGUUAGAUUCUAGUAUUUCCACUGAUUUCUCACCGUAUUUACAACGCUUCAAGGUCCAAUCUCUCCUUAUUUUCUAUUGCUACAGCUAGGGCUAAGUAAUCUGUAAAUUAUUUCUCAAGCUAGGGUUUUUUGGGGUUUUCCUUUGUGCUGGUCCCUUGUCGUCUUAUGUAAGGGAAUAUUAUAGAGGAUGCCUAUAUUUUAACUCGCUUUCACCAUGGGGGUACAUUUAUCGAGCAACCUGUCCCACUAUACAAAGGGGAAUUAGAUGCUUUUGCUGUUGCUAUCGAUAAAGACCAUUUUAGUGUUGUCGAGUUGUCUGCUUAUGCUAAAGACCUUGGGUAUGCAGUUGUCGAAGGGUUUUAUUGUCAAAAGGAAAAAGAUGGUGAUUUUAUCAAAGUCUUUUCUGAUUUUCAGUUAUAUGAAUUUGUGAAAGAUUUAAAACAUAGUGAUAUUUUGGAUGUUUAUUUGCGUCAUGGUGUGAGUCAGCCUGAAGUAGUCGAAGAAAAUGUUGGUCUUUUAUGUGGGGCAGAAGUAGGUGGGGGUGGUAAUGACCAAUUUAAAGCUAGGGCAACACCUGGGAGUAAUACAAAUACUGAAGAACCUAUUGAGGCGCCUACUGAACCAACUCACAAUGCUGCUGAACCACCUAUUGAGCCUCCUAUUGAACUAACUUUGAAUGAUGCUGAACCAAAUCACAAUUCUUCUGAACCAACUGUAAAUGCUGCUGAUGGAGAUGAACCACCAGACCAUAAUGUUAAUGAAGAUGGAGUGCAAUCAGAUGUUGAGAGUAGUGAAUCAGAAGAAGAUGUUCUUCCAGAAGAAGAUGAUUCAGAUGUUGAUGAUGAAUAGAGAUCUCUAAGGGCUGAAAGGAGGAGCAAGAGGCAGGGUAAGCAGAGGAAAAAACCAAUUGCAACAGAUGAGAUACCACUAGGAGAAGCAGGUAUUGACAGAGUAUUUGAGGAUAUUGGAAGAAACAAGACUUCAAGAUAAGUAGGUAAAUUAGGUGGUGAUGAGUAGUUUAUUGAUAGUUCAGAGGCUGUUAGUGGAGAUAGCAUAGAAGAGUUAGAUCCUGAAGCUAUUCCUGGUGUUGAUAUACCAGCAAGAAGGAGGAGUACAAAAGUCAGGUAUGAUCCUGAUUGUGAAGUUGCUAUAUUUGAACUUGGGAUGAUUUUUGAGAAUGCUAUAGAGUUUCGGAAAGCAUUAGCAAAUUAUGCAAUUGAAUACAAGGUGCAGAUUAAAUUGAGACCAAAUGAACCACAUAGGGUGAGGGCUAAGUGUAAAUCAAAGAGAUGCAAAUGGGUGUGUUAUGCUUGUAUUGAUAGAGAUUCAGGUGAUUUUAAAGUAAAGAACUACUACCCAGUACACAAAUGUGAUACUUCAAACAAGAAUAAGUUGUGCACUUCAAAGUUUGUUGCAAAGAAAUUCAAAGAUGAAAUAACUAAGAAGCCCUACAUAAGGAUAUGUGAAAUACAGGAGUUGUGUAGGGACAAGCUAGGAUUGUAUGUUGGCAAGACAAUUUGUUAUAGGGCUAAACUGCGUGUUCUCAGAGAGUCCAUGUGUGAUUGGAAUAUGGAGUUUGCAAGGUUAUGUGAUUAUGCUGAUAUGAUAAAACAGACCAAUCCUGGUAGCUCAUGUUGGGUAAGGAUAGACAGUGAAACUGAGCCAGGAAAAAAUCUCUUUGUUUACUUUUAUGUGUGCUUUGAUGCAUUGAAGAAAGGUUGGUUAGAAGGAUGUAGGAGAAUCAUAGGUUUUGAUGGUUGUUUCUUAAAGGGUGCUUGUAAAGGUGAGCUUCUAGUUGCUGUUGGCAAGAAUGGAAAUAAUCAAAUAUUUCCUAUAGCAUGGGCAGUUGUGGACCAGGAGACAAAACAUAACUAGAGUUUUUUCAUCAACUACUUGAAAGAUGAUUUGCAAUUGGGAACUGGAGAAGGAUUGACUGUAAUGGCAGAUAUGCAAAAGGUAAGUAUUCUGUUCUGUUGUCUCUUAAGUAGCCUAUUAAGUAAUUUUGGUAUUUGAUGUUCAUUAAUGUGAUACGUUCAGUUGUUAAGUACUUAAGUAUUCUGUUAUUUUGUUAAGUAAUCAGUAUUCUGCUGCUGUUAAGUAUUCAAUUUUGUGUAGUAAUAUGCUGCUGUAAUUUGAAUUAAUUAUUGUGUAGGGAUUUGCUGCAGCUUUGAAUGAAGUUUUACCUAAUGCUGAAUUUAGGAUGUGUGCCAGACAUAUAUGGUCUAAUUGGCAUAAGAAAUGGAAAGGAGAGGAAAGGAGAAAACAGUUUUGGAGGUGCUCUAAAUCUAGUUAUGAAGUUAAGUUUAAAGAGGAGCUUGAGAAAAUGGACAAACUUGGUAAGGAUAUUUGUAGGGAUUUGUUAUAUUAUCCAAAAAAGUCAUGGGUUAGAGCUUAUUUUGAAGUGCAUUCCAAGUGUGAUGUUGUUGAAAAUAAUAUGUGUGAGACCUUUAAUUCAUGGAUUUUAGCUUCUAGGCAUAAAUCAAUUAUAACUAUGUUGGAGGAGAUUAGAAGGAAAAUAAUGACUAGGCAAGUGGAUAUGUUGAAAUUUGCUGAUACUUGGAUAUCUGAUAUAUCACCUAUGGCAAGGCUAUUGUUAGAGGAUAGCAAAGACCUUGCUAGAAAAUGUACUGUCCUUUGGAAUGCUGAUGUUGGAUUUGAGAUUGGAGAAGGGCUGCAUAAGCAUGUAGUUAAUCUGACUGAUAAGGUUUGCACUUGUAGAGCUUGGCAGUUGAGGGGUAUUCCAUGUCAACAUGCUGUUCUUGCAUACUAUCACAUAAACGAAGAACCUGAACAAGCAGUAGAGCAUUGGUAUAAGAGGGAUACCUUCUUAAAAGCAUACAAGUAUUUCAUCCAGCCUAUGACAAAUAUGAAGAUGUGGUCUGAAACCAACAAUCCUAUGAUAGAGCCUCCCAAACCUAAACCCAUGCCUGGUAGACCUCAGAGGAACAGAAGAAAAGGCAAAGAUGAACCAAAAAAGAAAUAUGGAAAGUUGUCCAAGUGUGGAGUGAAAAUGACAUGUUCCAAGUGCCAUCAACAAGGACAUAACAAAAGAUAUUGUAAGGUAAAUGUUUCUUGUCAAAUAUUUCCUGUUUCCAUCACAUGUUUCCUGUUGUUCAUAUGAAUGUAGUAAUCUGUUUCCAUCACUGUUAUUCACUGAUGUUGCUCAAUGUUAUGUAGGCUGAAAAUUGGAUGCAUUCACAACAAGGUAGCCAAAGCUCACAAGGUGCUAGCCAACCUGAUGCAGCUGGAAGCUCAAGCCAACCUACAAACUCUAUGUGCUUUGAUACAACAAGGGUUAGAAGGGUUAAUGAAGCUAGAAGCUCAAGCCAACCAACACCAAGUUCAACAGAUUCGAGUAGGCCUUCUAGAAGAGGAUUAGGUAGUCAACUUCCUCCAAAGGGUAAAAAAACUACCAGCCAAAAGAGAGGAAGGGGUGCAAGUCAAGAAGAUGCUGAAAAAGGAGCACAAAAAAGGUCCAAAAAUGUUGGAUUUGGCAUCUACACAGCUGCAAGUGGAACUCAAAUAUUAAAGGUAUAUAAUCAUACAUGUUUCAUCUAUAAUAUGACUUACAAAUAACUUACUGAUUAUGGUUCAUUAUUUGGCAAACUGCAGCCCGAAACAUCAAGCCAACGAGUUAUGGUAAGUGGUUCAACUUAUAAGAGUGCAGCUCCAACAAGAAUUGACCUUGGUUUUAAGGCUAGAGGCUUGAGGUGGAAGGGUCAAGAUGCUGUCACAACUUCCCAGUUGCAGCAGAUGAAGGCAAACUUCAGCAAGAAGUAGUAUCUUAGGAACUUAUUUUGUCUAUAUGUUAUGUAGCAGCAACCUAUUAUAUUUUGGGAUCUAGUUUUUGAAGAAACUAAACUUUAAGUUGUAUUCAGUCGUGUAAUCUUACUGUUCUGUUUUGGAUAUAUGUUAUGCAGCUGCAACUUCAGCCUUAUUUUGUUUGUUUUGGCAGAAUAAUUACUCUAUGUUCUAAAUAAUUACUCUAUAAUGCAGCAACUUUAGUCUAUAUGUUCUGCAUUUUGAAACAACAUCUUAUGGUUCUAUGCCUUGUACAGAAGUUGUAUAUUACAGCACUUUCAAAAUUCAGCAACUAUAAAUUAAAACAACGGUUUCAACAUCUGAAUAUAAACAGAAGUUUAUAACAAAAUUCAGUUGUAUUUAUACAACAUCUGAAUAUUACAACAACAGUUUCAAAAUAGAAAUUUAAAGCAACAACAGAAAUCCGUCUUCUUUUUGCUCAUCAGUCAACCAAAAUUCAUCAGUCAUACAGUUUCCAUAAAACGACCAACAAUACAACAACAAUCGUCAAAAGGAUCCGUCUUCUUUUUGCUCGAACUUUCUCCUCUUCAAAAGCUUUGACUCUCUUUAAUAAACCCCAAAUUAUAUUCUUUGCUUGAGUAGGCAUCUCAUUGUCAUACCAACAGAAAUAAUCACAUCCACCCUUUUUCUACAAAUAUCACAAAACACUUUUAAUCAAUUUUUAUCAAAGAAAAUAAUUCAUAAAACAAAAUUUACAAAUUAUGAACAAACAAUUUACCUUUCUGAUUUUGCAAGCAAAAAACCUACGACCUGGAUUUAAUUGGGUCCAAGAAGUAUUCAACUUUGGAGAAACACCACACUUAUAGAUUCGAGCAGCAACGCAAGGUGACAUUGACGAGUUCGUCAAUUCCGAGAAGUUCGACAUUAAUAAACACAACAACAACAGAAAUGAGAGGAAGAAGAGAAGAGAAGAAAUUAAUUGAUACCAAGAAGAGAACAGAAAUGAGAGAAAGAAGAGAAGAGAAUAAAAGAUUUGCUGGAGAAUUGCUGGAGAAAUCUAAGAAGAAGAGAAGAGAACAAAUAGGUUUUUUAAGAAUUGGGAAAGGGAUUAGAGUUUAAAUAAUAAUUGACAAUCCAUGUUACCGUUAUGUGUCUAAUUGGGAAAGGAAAAGUCACUUUUUGGAAUCCUUCACGCGCCUAAAUGGGUUUGAAGUCACGCUAUAUGCCACCAGCAAAAAACGUGUCUAAUUGGCAUGAGAAUUUCCUAAGAAACAUGUCUAAUCGGAAAAAGGUCUAGUUUAAGUGUCUAAGUGAAAGAUCGUGCCAACUUUAGGUGUCUCCAUAUGUAUUACGCCAAAUUCUAAAGUGUUUGACUGUGGUUCUCUUUACUUGUUCGACUGAUUUUUCAUAUUUAUGUUUUAAUCCCUAGGGUUUCUACUUAUUUCACUGCCUAUUUCAAUAUUUUGCCCGUUAUUCAUUAAUUCUGUCAAUUAAAAGGGAUUGACUGAUUUUAUUUACCUAAUUAGGGUUCAAAUUAUAUUUUUUGCCAAGAUUGGUACUUCUCUGUGAUUUCUUUCCUUAUUUGUGACUCAUGAUUGGUACUUUUUCCUUAAUUGGUUUAUUAGCCUGAUUUAUGGGAUUUAAUUGCUUUAACCGACUCCUAGAGGGUAUUUGAUUGAUUUAUUUACCUUAUUGAACCUGUAACUUGGCUGUUAAUUGAUUCUCCCUAAUUUAAGGGGUGCUUUUCGGAUUCUGUUGAAUUAUUUGAUUGGGUUUAGCCCCAAUUAACUAUUUAAUUUUACUUGCAUACCUUAUUUGGAACUCUUAAUUAUUCUUUGCCUUAUUUGUUUUACUCUGCUAAGUGCUAUAUAAUCUCCCCAUUCCGACUUUUGAAAAGGACACAAACAUUAGUUCAUCAAUACUCUCACUCUCUCAAAAGCUCUUUAUUCUCUUCUGUUACUUUCAAUUCUCACUAACCUAGCCGGUUGUAAGCCAAGGCUAGCUUAUGUACUCUAGCCCUUCAAAAUACUCUAGUUGUGUGUAUUGGUCAUGUCUAAGACUUAUGUGUUCUCAACAUGUCUUUGUUGUAAUCUUUGUAACUAACUUGUCAAUUCCACAACCUCUUGAGAAAUUUGUGUAUUUGUUUGAUUAUACACUAGGUUGUAUUCUAUUUGUCCCCCAACCCCUCUCUCUCUCCAUGUGUGGAACCUGUUUGCCCCAAAAUGUUUUUGAAACUGUGUGUUUUGUGACUUGUAUUCUGAUUUCAGAAAAUGUUUUUUCAUACUUUUCUCAAACUAUUUACCACCCUAACUAGUACUGGUUUAAGAAAAGUUUUUCACUUCUAAGGACCUCUUGCUACUGUUUAUCAAAAUACUUUCAAAUCAGGUCAAGCACUCUCACUUAUUCUUAGGUUAUUAAGUUCUGCCCCUCUGGUAUGUGUACUGCUUAGAGGUCCCUGAGAUCUCUCUAAACUCUGGCAUAUCAGGGCUGACACUUCUACACUGCACAUAAUCAGUCUUUAUUUGAGGAAAGUNNNNNNNNNNNUGGAACUUUGGGCAUUUGAGACUAGUGAAGGCUUGGUACACCAGGAUUGCUUUGGGCCUGCUUCAGGCUCCCCAUAGCUUAACUUCUAUUCUAUUUAUGUAAAUUUUAUUCAAUCAUUGGUCUGUAAUAAUUAAUUAUAAAUAGAUAAUGGGGUGACUAGUGAAAAUGGGGGUAGUUGUAUAAUAUGGGUAAAGCUGGGUAGAUAACAUGCCUAUAGGGUUCAUUUGGUUCAAAUGUGUUUAAUUAGAUAACAUGCCUAUAGGGUUCAUUUGGUUCAAACGUGUUUUAUUAGAUAACAUGCCUAUAGGAUUCAAAUGUAUUUUGUUAGAUAAUAUGCCUAUAGAAUUUUGCUUUGGUUCAAACAAAUUCUGCUUGCUUUACUUUACAUAAUUAGAAGUCAUGCCUAAUAUCAGCUUUAAUUAUAGAAAUCAUGCCUAUAGGAUCUAAAACCAGUUUAUUUAGAUCUAAAAUCAGUUUAAUUUUAACUCACGCCUGUAAGUUCUAAAUCAGAUUAACUGACCUACUCAUUUCUUUAAUAGGCUUCAACGCUGCAUUAAUUAUUAUUACUAGAAAGCAUGCCUAUAGGAUCCAGAUUGCCCGCUUUAAAAUGGUUUACUGCAUUCCUGAUUAAUGAUUAGAUACAAUGCUUAUAGGAUAUCACUAUUACAUGCCUAGGCAAGCCUAUAGGUCGAUUAAAAUCCUGCAAACUAUAAAACAAUGCUCUAUUAUUUGUGACUGCUCAUAUGCAACAGGUCUAAAAUCAGUAGGCAAACUAAAUAGGUCUUUGACACUUUGGUCCUAACUCAAUACUGCAUAUUCUCUGCUCACCUAGAUAUCAUGUUCUAGGGCUUCUUUUAAAUACCUAAAACUGUGUUUAAGACUUGCACUUGCUUGCUCUGUUUGUGGAGGUAAAACUUGAGCCUUUAAUUGUUCUAUCUUUGGUCCAAUCCUAAUUGUUUUUGGUUGUCGCCUAGACUUUUCUCCUUUAAGUACCUUAGGAUAGUCUAGAACUACCCAAAUUAGAGGUCUUAAAUACCUCAUGUCCACAAGGAAGGGACGGGUAGUGCACACAUAUGAUAUAUUUUAAGGUUUCUAGAACGCUUAGGCUAUGACCAAUGAGAGCGAAUUGGGUAGUAAAGAUAUGAUGACUGCGCGCUAAUGUCACGUGUAACCCCUCAUUGAGGAAUGAUUACCGGGAAUUGCAUGGGUGUGAUCCUGUAGGCUAANNNNNNNNNNNNNNNNNNNNNNNNNNNNNNNNNNNNNNNNNNNNNNNNNNNNNNNNNNNNNNNNNNNNNNNNNNNNNNNNNNNNNNNNNNNNNNNNNNNNNNNNNNNNNNNNNNNNNNNNNNNNNNNNNNNNNNNNNNNNNNNNNNNNNNNNNNNNNNNNNNNNNNNNNNNNNNNNNNNNNNNNNNNNNNNNNNNNNNNNNNNNNNNNNNNNNNNNNNNNNNNACUUUAUUUGCGAAUAUGUGUUGAAAAUAUUUACUUGUAAAAUGACUAAUUCACAUAAUUUAAGUUCGGCCGGGACCCACCGUUAUGGACCGCGAGGGGUGCCUAACACCUUCCCCUCAAGGUUAUUUCGAGCCCUUACCCUAAUCUCUGGUAAUGCAAACUAGUUCAUGAGUUAAUUUCUCUAGGUGCCCUAACACACCAUAAUCCGUUAGGUGGCGACUCUUCAAAUACCCAACUCCCAAAAGGAAAUCACUUGUUCCCCCAUGAAUGUCGAAACCCGGACUUUCCCGUCAAAAAGGGAAAAAAUGGGGCGCGACAACAUGGCGACUCUGCUGGGGAUAUUUUAGGCUCUUACCAUAACGAACUUAUUUUUGUGAAUUAGUCCAAGCAUGCUUCAUCCCACGUACCAUUUCCCCUUAUUUGAAUCUAAUUGUCCAUUUUUCAAAGCAUUUGUGAUUCUUUUAUUCUUGAAACUGACUUGUCUCUUUGUUUUCUUUUCUAUAACUGUCUUUCAAUUAUUUAAAUAUUGCAUUUAUUAUUUUCUUAAGUGCAAAUACUUGACAAAAUGCUAUUUAUUAUUGCAUAAAUCAUGCUCAACAUCAUACUCCACUCGUGCGUAACCAAUCCUAUAGCAACGCUUGAUACGUGUUUGCGCUCUUCCUAUAUAUCACCCUUAAAAUUCGGAAAGGCGUAUUUGCGGUAAAACUAGUCGAUCAGCAGUACGUUCGAUGGUUACGUGCCUUUCCCCCUCAAAUUGUCCACUUGAGGUCCAAGUCUAGAUCUCUAUAGCAGUCUUAAUCUUAUUAAGUUGUACAUGCAUCAUAGUCAAACCUAGCUGGGUUAAUAUGUUAACCGCAUAAUAACCCUUUAAGACGAGCCUUGUCCAAAAGUCCAUCAGGUUUUUCAUAAUCCCAACGGACGUAACCACGAUUAUGUGCAUUAAUUUGGAGAAAUAAAGUUCCAAUAUGCUAAUCAUUACUGUAUAAAUAGAUGAACCUGGAGGGGGAAGGGCCUAACUCUCUUUGCUUUGCAGAAAUUGAGGCACGAAGUCCCCAGAUUCGGUGGUUGGUAGCAUACCCUCACUCUUGCUAGAUUGGUGGAUGGAUCUUCCUUAAUUUGACCAAAACCAUGUGAAACGAGUCUUAGGAAACUUGCCUUCUCUAUUGGACCUUCAUCCCAACAAAAUGUUGAUCGAGGUUGAAACUAUGUUUUGGGACAAGGAAAGGGUUGUGUUCCGUUUUGGGAACAUAGAAAUAACUUCCCUUCUAGAAGAAAUAGAAGGAUUUGGUAGGUUGCCUUGGGAUAGCCCUAAUCUGUUAGCACCUGAAAAUUGCACUGCUAAGGGAUUUCUGAAGAAGAUGGGGCUGGAGAAGAAUGAUAACUUGAAAUGCCUAAAGGACUCCUACAUACCUUUUUGAUUUCCUUUAUGAAAGAUACAACCACAACAGCUCUUACCGUAUUUUUGAUGAUGAGUUCUCAAUCACUUCUUUAGGUUGGAUUCAUCAUAGGGUCUUCGUGUUUAUCAUGUAUUUCGUGGGCAUGCUGGUAUUUCCAAUCCAAAGGGAUAGAAUCCAUACUAGGCUGGCCAUGGUGACCAAUGAUAGACAGGAUCAAGGGGGAGACAUACACUAUCGUCCCUAUGAUCGUUGCAGACAUGUACCAGGCUUUAGAGUGAUGUCAUAAGGGGUUCAGGUUCUUCGAGGGUUGCAACUUGCUGCUAUAGGUCUGGUUGUUGGAACAUCUCCAAAAGGGACAAUACAAUCAAGAAUUUCCGCGAAGGCCGUGGAAUGAUCACAUAGCCUUCCAUCAUCCCAAAAGAAUGAACUAUAUUCCAGACAUGUUUGCUCAGCUAGAGGAUGUUGUGGGAUGUGUAUAGCUUUUCGAAAAUUUGAUCAAGGAUCAAGUUUAGUAGAUGUUCAAGUGGUUCCCUACCGAUGAGUUCAUCAUCAGAUCCAGAGAUUUUCCACACUUGGUGUUGAUUGGGUUGAGGGGCAUAUACCCAUACGCUCCUCUCAGGGUUAGAAGACAAGCAGGCAGGAGACAGAUCAUACCACAUGUCGCUAAUAUGUGUCACUUUAGAGCCAAUUUUAGGGGUGACGCCACCCCGUAUAAGAAUGAAGCACAACACAUAUAGACCCUGAAUAUUAUUAUGGAGAAAUAUACUAUCGAUCCAGACUGAUAUCAUGCGGGCCACUCGUACCUUUACCCUUCGUGGAUAGAGGAAAACAUAGUUAGGGUCUUUGAGCCAAGGGCUGGGCUAGGAAACAGGGUCAUAGACGAGGUCGCUGAAGCGGAGGUGAAGUAUAACAAGCUGCGGAAAAGGGUUCGAGAGUCUGAAGCUGAGCAUAUGGCGCUGCAUAAGGCUAACAUGGAGAUGAUUAAUGAGUGGAAAGAAAGAGCUGUUAAAUCUAGCGAGAGGCUGGAAUAUCUGGAGUACAGUUUAAUGGAGUUAGAAGGGAAGAUGAGAAAAAGGGUCACUGACUGCCAAGACGCUGAGGGAAAUGAAGGAGGGCAUCUAGCAAGGGCAUUCCUACUGCUGAACCUGCGCGAGCUGGGAGAGUUGAUCGACAAGAGAAUCCAGUCUGGAGAGGUUCCUUCUGGGACCAAGUAGAUUAGAUUUAUUUUAUUUACUUUCAAAUGUAAUAAGGCCAAGUGACAUUAGUGACAUUAUCUUAUUUAAUCUCAUUUUGGUUCGUUUAUUUUACAUUAAUGAAAUGAGGCAAUUAUUGGCACUAAAACUCUCCAAAUUUAUUUUUUGCUAUGCCUACCUCGGGUACAACGAGGCUCCCAAAUUAGGACGCAAAUUUACAUUCCCGCAAUAUGUGUUUAAAUAUUACAAACAUCUCAGAAUCCUUACUGACUAGUUUAUCUUUUUUUUCUUUAUUUUUUAUUCCCAUCCCCAAGGUUGGUUCAAUCAUACUGGCAUCAUCAGCGUAUCACACCAGAUCUAGAGGCCCUCCUCCUCCUCCAAGUAAUACAAAAGGCUAAGGAAAAACAAAAAUGGACGACUUAAGUGGUAAUGCAGAUAACACAGAAACUUCAGACGGUUGGAGUACUCCGACACCAAAUGAUCUAGUUCUGAGGUUGGAACAAAAGAUAUUGGAGCUACAGGGAGAGCUUAAGCAGGUCCGCAACCUGGCAAAUCCCUCACCCUGAAUGUCCCCGACAUCAACCAACAAAACACAAAGAACCCAACACCUCCCCAAAACACACCAAACCAACAUCCACAAAACCCUCAUGCACCACAUCAAUAUGCAACCCCACCCCAAAAUCUCAAUCCCUUACCAAUACCAACUUCGCCACAACAUCACCAUCAACCAAUUUAGUAUCCACCAAUCGCCACUUAUCAUACUCCCCAGAGCACACCACAACCCAUUCCCGAUCCUCAAAACUCAACCAAUGACCACCAUUACACCCAGGCACCUGGCACUCACCACAACAACCCCAUAUACGUGGAAACCGUUCCUCACUCUAUCCAACCAAUCUCCUAUACACCAUAAUCCUUCGAGAAGGACUUGCUUAUUAAAAACAUAGCUGAAGAACUCAAGAAAUUGAUGAGUCGAGUUCAAGGUGUCAAAGGCGACAAAGGAAUAGAAGGUUUGAACUAUGAAGAUUUAUGCAUACAACCAGAUGUAGAACUGCCAGAGGGUUACAAACCUCCCAAGUUCAAAAUGUUUGAUGGUACAAGUGAUCCCAGGGUUCAUUUGAGGACUUAUUGUGUCAAGCUUGUUGGGGUCGGAAAGGAUGAAAGAUCCGGAUGAAGCUCUUUGUGAGAAGUCUUACGGGAGAUGCUUUGUCCUGGUACAUCAGCCAGGAUCCUAAGAAAUGGUCCAACUAGGUGAGUAUGGUGUCUAAUUUCAUGGAUCGAUUCAGGUUCAACACAGAAAAUGUACCAAAUCUUUUCUACAUUCAGAACCAUAAGAAUAAGCCCACCGAAACUUUCCGCGAGUACACUACUCGUUGGAGGUCAGAAGCAGCCAAGAUUAGGCCAUCUUUGGAUGAGGAACAGAUGAACAAGUUCCUCGUCAAAGCACAGGAUCCAAAAUAUUAUAAAAGGUUGAUGGUUAUUGAAAAUCAUAAAUUUUUUGAUAUCAUAAAACUCGGAGAAAGAAUCAAAGAAUGAAUCAAGAGCGGGAUGGUGACAAACUUUGAAGCAUUACAGGCCACAAAUAAGGCAUUACAAUCAGGCGACAUAUCGAACAAAAGAGACGUUGGGGCAGUAAUGGUGGCUUAAGGCCCGAAAUAUCCACUUACAUAUCAAACACCUCCACUCACAUAUCAAACACCUCCACCCAUAUACCAAGCACCACCACCCACAUAUCAACUUUCAUCUCCCAGAUAUUCCCAAACAACCACUGCCUAUCAUACCUAUAAUUUCCAACCAUCUCAUUUCCAAUCACCUCCAACUCGCCAAAAUUAUCCAAGAACACGACCCAAUUUUGACCGUAUGCCACCCAGACAGUACACCGCCAUUUUUGAACCCAUCGACCAACUAUAUGAAAGGUUGAAAGCCACUAGUUAUUCACCUUUAUUCCUGUUGUGGCAUUAGAGAAUCCAUCUGAAUGGGUCAACCCAAACAAAACAUGUGCAUUCCAUUCCGGUAUGAAAGGGCACACUAUUGACGAGUGCCAAACAUUGAAAGAUAAAAUCCAAACACUGAUUGACAACAAGACUAUACAGGCGAAAGAAGCUGCGCCCAAUAUCCGCAACAACCCCCUCCCUGAUCAUAGGGGUGGCGGGAUAUAUGUGAUAGAAAUGGAUGAGGAAUGGGAUCCUGAGGGGUCAAUCGGGCUCAUUCGAGAAUGUGAUUACUUUAAACCUGCAAUCACACUUACUCCUAUUGUAGUACAAACUCAGUCACUGAUCGAAGUUGAGGUAGCUGCAUCAGUUCCAUUUGAUGUAGAGGUAGCUCUACCUGCGGCCACCCCUGUUCCAUUUGAACUAGAAGUGGACAUACCUUUUACGGUGACAAUAUCAACCACACCUCCUUUCAACUCAAAAGAAAUACCAUGGGAUUAUAUUGCUGAGGCUAGGUAAAAAGGAAAGGCAAAGAUGGAGGAAUCCGAUGCUGUGCAAGGAAUGACCAAGACCAGGAGAAUCUAUACACCUGAACACUUGGGAGGACCAAGUAAGGAUGCUGCUACCAAGAAGCCUGUCAUUGAAAUAGGACCAGAUGACCUUUGGAGGAAAGUGCAAGAAAUGGAAUAUUCCGUCAUUGAUCAUUUGAACAAAUAAACUUAGAUAUCCAUACUAUCACUGUUGCAGAAUUCAGAAGCACAUAAGAAUGCUUUGAUGAAGGUUUUGAGUAAAGCUUAUGUACCCAACAAUAUCACCUGUGGAGAGACGGCCAAUAUGGUAGGUCAGGUGCUAGAAAGUCAUAAGAUAAUCUUCCACGAAGAUGAGCUGCCGCCUGAAGGGUUGAAUCACAACAGAGCAUUGCAUAUCAUAGUGCAAUUUGAACACAAAUUCAUUGUUAGGGUCUUGAUUUGUAGAGGUUCGAGCCUCAAUAUUUGUCUGUUAGAUACUCUGAAAAGAUUGGGCAAAGGUUUCCAUGCAAUACAGGUAGGGAGAAUGAACGUGAAAGCUUCCGAUGGGUCCCAAAGGGCCACGAUUGGGGAAAUUAAUCUUUGUCUACAAAUGGGGCCAACUUGGUUCGAUGUCGAAUUUUAGGUGCUUGACAUAUCAGCCUCACACAAUCUUCUGUUAGGACGACCAUGGAUACAUGCUGCCGGAGCUGUGGCUUCCACACUACAUCAAGCUGUGAAAUUCGAAUAGAACCAUCAGGAGGUGAUCAUUCAUGGAUAUGGGAGUAACCCUAUUUACACCAGUCAAACCAUCCCGGUUAUUGGAAACAGAAGAAGGUUAGGAGGGGAAACCUAUCAUCACAUCGAACGUGUCAAUGUCAUCAAGAAAGACAAAUGGUGGAGUAGAAAAAUAGAAAGCAUACUGGCAUGAUCUAGGUAUGAACCCGACAAAGGGCUUGGGAAGAAUCUCCAGGGUAUUACUAAGCCGAUACAACUGAAGCGUCAUGGUACUACCUUCAGGUUUGGGUACCAGUAUACAUGGAAAGAGUAUAAUGAUUGGUCGCCUCCAUGACACGGACCGUAUUACCCUCUGGAUCAACCAGUUCCACAUCUGGAUCAAGCUUUUCACCAAGCUGAUACAAUAUGGGGAACUGCAGAAGAAGAAGCAUUAGCUGGGCUGAGGAAUCUAUUUUUGGAGGAUGGAGACAUGGACUGCAAUACAAUAAUUGAGGAGGAGGAGGAAGAAGGCCUCACUAUCACUAUUCAGACUGUGGAGAAGGGAGCUGUUCUCAAGAACUAGACCGCCAAUGAGAUACCUGAGGAAGUUGUCAGGGAAGUUGAAAACUUUGAGAAUAAGCCUAAGUCCAACCUGGAUGAAACUGAAGCAGUAAAUUUGGGGGAUGCCGAGACCGUCAAGGAGACUCACAUCAGCAUUCACUUAUCACCGAUAGAGAAAUAAGAAUACAUCUAUUUUCUAAAGGAAUAUGAGGACAUUUUUGCAUGGUCAUAUGAUGACAUGACUGGUUUGAGCACGUCCAAAGUGGCUCACAAGUUGCCUACUAAUCCCAUGUGUCCGCCAAUGAAGCAAAAACUCAGAAAAUUGAAACCAAACAUGAGUCUGAAAAUCAAGGAGGAAGUUACUAAGCAGAUCAAAGCCAAGGUUCUCAGGGUUGUUGAGUACCCAACUUGGUUAGACAACAUUGUACCAGUUCCGAAGAAAGAUGGGAAAGUGUGAUGACCCAAAAGGUCUUCACUUGUUUUAUAAAUAAAUUCUACAUUUCGAGGCCUUAAAAACCUCUUUUUGUCUCACCUUAAUUUGCAUGCACAGUCUGGGUGCAUAGCCGGAAAGCCAUUAUGUGAAAAUCUGUGAAAAAUGCUGAAUUUUGUCUUUAAAAUGAGUUUAAAUUGACUUCGGUCAAUAUUUUGGGUAAACGAACCCGGAUCCGUAAUUUGAUGGUCCCAGAGGGUCCAUAGGAAAAUAUGGGACUUGGUCUUAUGCCCGGAAUUGAAUUCUGAGGUCCCCAAGCCCGAGAAAUGAAUUUUUGAAAGAAAUUAUUUUGCUGAAUUAAUUAUGAAAUAAAGAAAAGAAUUUAUGUUUGAAACCAUUGGUAUCGAGCCCAUAUUUUUGGUCCAUAGCUCGGUACAGGUCUUAUAUAUGAUUUGAGUCGAGCCUGUAAAAUUGGGUAAGAAACGGACUUGAAAUAACGUGACUCGGACCUUAUUUGAGAAAAUUAGAAAAUUUGAUGUUCUUAAGUGAUUUUAUGAUUUUGAUGCUAAAUUAUUAUUUGUUGGUGUUAUUAUGGUGAUUUGAAUGCACGAGCAAGUCCGUAUGAAGUUUUUAAGUUGGUGUACAUGUUUGGUUUGGAGCCCCGAGGGCUCGGGUGAGUUUUGGAUAGGCCACAAGGUGUUGAUACCCAAUUUCUCUCUAUAUACUUUUCAAUAUGCGAAAUACCUUCAAAAUAGCAUAUGUAUUCAUAUAUAAGCAUGUUAAAGUGUUUUAUUAUUUUUUCAUAAUUUUAAAGGUUUUUAAAUUAAUUUAUUUUCCCUUUUUAUCCAUAAAAUCCCCAAUAAUUAUUUUUAAAAUUAUUAUUUUGAUAAUUCAUCUAUUGGAUUUUUAUACUUAUGCCAAAAUAUGGCUAAAUUAAUUUUUACAUAUUUUUACAAUUUUAUUUAGUAUUUAUAAAGCUAAAUUGUACAUAAUUGCAAUAUUAGCCUUUUAAGGUUUAAAUAGGUUUUAUAUUCACAAAAUUGAGUCCUGUAUUUUUAUAUUGUUAAUUAUGUGUUAUAAAUCAUUUUAGUACUUUAAUUUAUUUUUCAAAAACUGUGUACCAUUUUUUAUAAAUUAAAAAGGGAAAACUGGCUAUUUAUAUAACAACCCCUUUUGCAUUUCAAUUAUAACCCAAAUCGGACCCCAAUUCCCCAUACCAAUUUUGAUUUAAACCCGACCCUAAACUUUUUAAACCCAACCCAAACCCGGAUCCCCACCUACCCCGUUUAAUCUAGAUUGUUGAUCAUUUAGAUCAACAGUCUCUAUUCACCCUUCCAUAAUUAAACCAAAACGAACCAUUAACCUACUUUAUUUCCACCAACACGUUGCCCUUGAAUCCCCUUCCUAUCCAAUUCUCUCUACAACCCCACUCAAACCCUAGCUGCCACCACCCAAACUAACCCUAAUCCCCUUAGAUUCUCACCUAAUCCAUGGACUCCCAUGGCUGUUUGAGACGUGUACCGGUCUCCUAUGUCUCCUGGUUGCCUGUUUGCGUAAUUUCAUGGAAAGAUCUCAAAGAGAUCUAGUCCAGUCUUUGCUCAACUUCUAUCUAUGGUCUUUUCCCGGCCAUCCAUGGCUGUCCAAGUCAGAUCCAUGGCUUUUCCGGCUAGAUCGGUAACUUUUCGAAGUCUUUCUCAUUUUUCUGGGUUCUCCGAAACCCUAACUUUAAAGGGCUUUCCGAUUUUCUUUCAGGUCUAUCUUAGAUAUGUGUAUGUUAUGAACCUCUUAAGUGUUUUCCUUAAAGGUUUUCCGAUUUUGCCAAAAUGACUCUUCGUUUUCAACGAUUAGGGUUUUCUUAACCUCUUUUAAAAGAUCUCUUCUCCAAUUUUUAGUGUUGUUUUAUGAUUUUACUAUGUUUAAACGAUUUGUUCAUGUUUUUCUUUUACCUAGUUCAUCGUGUUAAAACCCUAAGUAUCUUUGGUUUUAUCCAGGGUUCUGAAAUCGUCUUUUAUUUUGUGUACUUGUUUCGACUGAGUUCCUUGUGUUUAUGUGACGACCCGACCAGUCGUCUCAUGGGUUACCGCUUCAUUUUCCCAUUUCUGCUUCUUUAUGCUUCGUUGUCCGUGUUUUAUGGUAUCGGGUUUUUCGUAUCAUGUCCGGAAUGAUUUUGGUAAUGUUUGAGACACUUAGUCUCUUUUAAGGAAGUUUGGGUUGGAAAAGUCAACUGGAUGUUGACUUAUGUAUUAGAGGGCUCGGAUGCAAGUUCCAAUGGUUUGGUUAGAUUCGGGAGGUGAUUUUUGGCUUAGAAGUGUGAUCGGAAUGUGUUUUGGAGGGUUGGAGUAGUUUUAGGCUUGAAUUGGCGAAGUUGAUAUUUUGGCAAUUUCUAGUUGAUAGGCGAGAUUUUGAUAUAGGGGUCGGAAUAGAAUUCCGAGAUUUGAAGUAGUUCCGUUGUGUUAUUUGGGAUGUGUGUGCAAAAUUUCAGGUCAUUCGGGUGUGGUUUGGUUGGGUUGUUGAUCAAAAGCGUAAUUCGAAAGAUUUUAGAAAGUUUGGCUUGAAUCAGAUGUGUUUUGGGUGAUUUGAUGUUGUUUGAGGUGUUUUGGUGAUUGGAAAAAGUUUGAAUAAGGUUUUAGGAUAUGUUGGUGCCUUUGGUUGAGGUUCCGGGGGCAUCAGCUGAGUUUCGGGUGGUCUAUCGGAUCAUUUUUGGAGUUGGGAAAUUGCAGAAAAUCUGUUCAGCUGUUGCAGAGAUUUUGCACUUCGCAUUCGCGAGUGGAGCCUCGCGUUCGCGAAGAGGUAGUUAAGGAAGGCAAGGAUUAAGCCUUCGCGUUCGUGGAGGGCUGGGAAGUGGUGCAUCGCAUUCGCGAGAAGGUCUUCGCGAUCGCGUAGAGUAAUUUAGGUCAGAUGAGUUCGAGGUCAAAUGUUCAUCGCGUUCACGGAAGGGUGAGCGCGUUCGCGAAGGGUAAGGUAGAGGAAGCAUCGCAUUCGCAAUGGUCAUGUCGCGUUCACAUAGAGGAAAAGUUGGUCAAAGUAAGUUUGUGCUUCGCGAACGCGAGGGUUUGACCGUGUUCUCGAAGAAGGAAAUUAAGGCCUGGGCAGAAUGUUUUUAACUCGUCUUUUCCGCGAUUUUGGGGCUCAUUUCCUCCAUAGUUGGCCAUUUUGGGAGAUUUUUGAAGGAGAUUGAAGAGGGAUUCAAGGGGAAUCGUUGGUAGGUAAGUUUCUUGGAAAAACUCGAUUAUUAUGUGAAUUUCACCUAGAAAAUCAUAGAAUCUAAGCCUAAAAUUGAAGAACUAGGGCUUGGAAUUGGAGACCAAACAUUUGGGAUUUGAAGGGCAUUUGUGGAUGGAAUUUGAUGUUCUUGGUAUGUAUGAACUCGUGGGGAGAUAAGGAGUAUGUUGAUGUGAAAUUUUUGAAUUUCGAGACGUGGGCCCAGGGGUCGGGUUAUGGUAAUUUCAGGAUUUUUGCCCUUUGUUGAUUGUUUUCGCUUGGGCUUUGUUCCCUUAGCAUAUGUUGACGUACUCUUCUGAUUUUGGAUAGAUUCGAUGCGCGUGGAGGCCGGUUCGAGGGGCAAAGGAGUUGCAAUCUAGAGAUUUAGCCGGUUCGAGGUNNNNNNNNNNNNNNNNNNNNNNNNNNNNNNNNNNNNNNNNNNNNNNNNNNNNNNNNNNNNNNNNNNNNNNNNNNNNNNNNNNNNNNNNNNNNNNNNNNNNNNNNNNNNNNNNNNNNNNNNNNNNNNNNNNNNNNNNNNNNNNNNNNNNNNNNNNNNNNNNNNNNNNNNNNNNNNNNNNNNNNNNNNNNNNNNNNNNNNNNNNNNNNNNNNNNNNNNNNNNNNNNNNNNNNNNNNNNNNNNNNNNNNNNNNNNNNNNNNNCGAUUGAUGAUUUUACCGCGUAUUUGAUUGAAAACUAUUUUCUAUCAUCAUUAUUUGGGCUGAAUACCAUAUUUGGGCCUAGUGCCAACAAUUUGAACACUUCAGGGAUUUUUAUUGAUAUUUACUCACUGUUUUGACUUUACACUUGAACUUAGUCCUGUUAUUUUUUACUGUUUUCAUACUCAGCCAUGUUUACUCAAUUUUAAGUCUUAAAUAAUAUUUUAAAGGAUGUUUGGGCUGAAAAACACUGUUUACUAUUGCCCGAGGGGCUUGUGAGUAUUUUUGACUGAGUAAGGCCGAGGGCCUAGUUGUAAGGAAACACUGAUACUAAUUUGAGGCCGAGGGCCUGAGAUAUAUAUGCCACGAGGUGGCUUGAUUGAUAUGAGGCCGAGGUCCUAGUUUUGAUUCCACGAGAUGGCUUGUUAUUGCGCUUGGGAUGUAAGGGGCCCCUCUAGAAGUUUGCACACCCCCAGUGAGCACGGGUACCCAUUGUGAUUGUUCUAAGAUGUUGCCCGAGGGGCGGAUUUGUUGAUACUGUGCCCAAGGGGCAAACUUCUAUUUGUUUACUUUACCUUAAUUACCUGUCCACUACUUGUUUACUGGUUGGAAGAGGAUUUUACUUGACUUUUCACUGUGUUACUGCUUUUAAAUGGUUUUACUGCUUCAUUAUAGAAUGCCUUGUGCCUUACAUGUUUUCUUACUUUCAGUCGUUAUUUACAUUUGUUACUCACUGAGUUGGAGUACUCACUUUACUCCCUGCACCCUUGUGUGCAGAUUCAGGCAUUAUUGAUCCUGCCAGUGCUAGUUGAGAGCUCCCGGCAGACAUUCGUAUUUCACGAGGUAGUUGUUUGAUGUCCGCAGACCCGUGUUUCUCCCUCUUUAUCAUUUCUAUCUCAUAUCAGACUUUUGUACUAGUUGUAGAAUUUUCAGACUUGCAUUAUGUUUUAUAGAUGCUCAUGACUAGUGACACCCCGGUUAGGGAUGUGUUGGGUUGUACUUCCAUACUUUAUUGACAUUAUCCGCUACUUAGUAUUGCUAUAUCAUGUUUAAAACUGCUUUUAUGUUAUUUAACUAUUUAAAAAGUGAAUUGGGUUUGAUUGGUUGGCCUUGUCUUCACGAGAUACGCCAUCAUGGCUGGGUUUGGGUUUGGGGUCGUGACAAGUUGGUAUCAGAGCCUAGGUUACAUAGGUCUCACGAGUCAUGAGCAGAUUUAGUAGAGUCUCGCGGAUCGGUAAGGAGAUGUUUGUAUAUAUCCUCGAGAGGCUACAGAACCUUUAGGAAAAACUUCAUAUUCUUGAAAUUCUUGUCAUGAGAACUUGUUGAUCCGAGUACUAAACUUCUAUUAUUCUAUUCUCUCACAGAUGGUGAGGACAUGCACUACUGGUCAGGGUGGACGACCCCCAGUACCACCAGCUGUGGCCACCAGAGGCCGAGGACGCGGUCGUGAUCGUGGUAGAGGUAGAGCAGCGAAGGCAGCACCUGUAGAUCCACCAGCUACCCCAGUUCAAUAUCAUGGCCCAGUUAUGGACGCUCCUAUAGCACCAGCUCAGGCACCAGCUGUGCCCAUCGUGAUUCCGGGUUUUCAAGAGACCUUGGCUCAGAACUUAUCAGUUUGCACUGGCCUAGCUCAGGCGGUUUCAGCCACUACACCUGUAGCUACUACUCAGGCCGAGGAAGGCAAUUAGACUCCCGUCGCUCGCACACCUGAGCAGGUCAUGCAGGGACUCCAAAUCUCGGGGGCGCAUCCAGCCUAGACGGUUGCAGUUGCUUAGGACUAUGUAGUUCCUACCAUGCCGGAGGAAGAGCAACAUAGGUUGGAGAGGUUUGGUAGACUUCAACCUCCGUCAUUCAGUGGUGUAGAGGGCGAGGUUGCCCAGAGUUUUCUGGACAAGUGUCAGAGGAUGCUUCAUACAGCAGGUAUUCUGGAGACCAGCGGGGUUGCUUUCACUACUUAUUAGUUUGCAGGAGCUUCUUUCACUUGGUGGGAGGAUUUUAAGAGGCGUAGGCCUAUUGGUGCAGCACCCCUUACCUGGCAGCAGUUCUCCGUUCUCUUUUUGGAGAAGUAUGUGCCGCAGUCUCGUAGAGAGGAGCUGCGCAGGCAGUUUGAGUGGUUGCGUCAGGGGGAGAUGACCGUGUCGUAGUAUGAGUUGAGGUUCUCUAAGUUGGCUCGUCAUACUAUCUGGUUGGUCCCGACAGAUAGAGCAAGGAUCAGAAGGUUUGUUGAUGGUCUUACUUAUCAGUUUCGUAUUCUCAUGACCAGGGAGAGGGUGACUGGUGCUACUUUCGAGGAGGUUGUGGAUAUUGCCUGUGAGAUUGAGUCUGUUCGUUGCCAGGAGUGAGAGGAGAGGGAGGCCAAGAGGCCUCGAGGAUCUGGCAGCUAUAGUGGUGCUCAUUCGAGGGGUCAGUUUCAGCACGACAAAGACCGUUCAUUUAGGCCUGCUCAGUUAGAUCGCCUAGGUUAUCGUGGGGCAACUUUGGGUCAUAGUUAUUAUGGAUAUCAGCAGGUCCAGUCAUCACUCAGUUCCCUUUCAGCUCAGAGUUCAUCUCGUGCUCCAUCAACUCAAGUCUCUUCUAUGCCGAGUGCAUCUGCUAGUCACUCCGUUGCAAGGGGUUCCCUUCAGUCCCCUUCUCCAGAACUUAGGAGUUGUUUUGAGUAUGGUGAGAUGGUUCACAUGUGGAGGCAGUGUCCUCGUGGUUUUGCUAGUUCAUCCCAGCAGAGGGGUCAGUCAUCGACUUUAGUACCAGUUGCUUCAUCACCCGCCCGCUCAACCAGCUAGGGGUAGAGGUCAGUCAGCCAGGGGUCGCCCCAGAGGGUGUGGUCGAUCAGGGGGCAGUCAGGCCCGUUUCUAUGCACUCCUAGUCAGACCCGAUGCUAUUGCUUCAGAUGCUAUCAUUAGAGGUAUUGUUUCAGUCUACCACAGAGAUGCCUCUAUUUUAUUUGAUCCUGGUUCCACCUUUUUAUGUGUCAUCAUACUUUUCUCGUUAUUUGGGUACACACUAUGAGUUUCUUGAUUUACCUGUUCAUGUAUCUUCCUCGGCAGGCGAUACUGUUAUUGUAGACCGUGUGUACCUAUCGUGUGUGGUGACUAUUGGGGGUCUGGAGAAUCGAGUGGAUCUGUUGUUAAUGAGUAUGGUGGAUUUUGUUGUUAUUUUGGGCAUGGAUUGGUUAUCUCCAAGUCGUGCUAUUCUAGACUGUCACGCUAAGACAGUCACAUUGGCUAUACCGGGUGUGCCACGGAUUGAGUGGUGAGGUGUGACUGAUUAUGUUCCCAGUAGAGUGAUCUCAUUCUUGAAAGCCCAGCGUAUGGUUGGAAAGGGUUGUCUUUCAUAUCUAGCAUUUGUGAGGGAUGUCGGAGCUGAGGCUCCCAGUAUUGAUUCUGUCCCACUUGUGAGGGAUUUUCCCGAUGUGUUUCCUAUAGACCUGCCGGGCAUGCCCCCGGAUUGGGGAUAUUGAUUUUGGUAUUAACCUGGUGCCGGGCACUCAACCCAUUUCUAUUCCGCCGUAUCGUAUGGCACCAGCGGAGUAAAGGAAUUAAAAGAACAACUUUAGGAACUCCUUGAUAAAGGGUUCAUUCAGCCUAGUGUGUCACCUUGGGUGUGCUGGUUCUAUUUGUGAAGAAGAAGGAUGACACAAUGAGGAUGUGCAUUGAUUAUAGGCAAUUGAACAAGGUAACAAUUAAGAACAAGUAUCCUUUGCCUCGUAUUGAAUAUUUAUUUGACCAGCUUCAGGGAGCGAGAGUGUUCUCCAAGAUUGAUCUUCGUUCAGGUUAUCACCAACUGAAGAUCAGGGACUCGGAUAUUCUCAAGACUGCUUUUAGGACCAGGUAUGGCCAUUAUGAGUUCUUGGUGAUGUCUUUUGGACUGACCCCAGUAGCGUUCAUGCAUUUCAUGAACAACGUGUUCCGGUGUUAUCUUGAUUCAUUUGUCAUAGUCUUCAUUGAUGCUAUUCUGGUGUAUUCGCGUAGUCAGGAGGAGCACGCAGAACAUUUGAGAGUCGUGUUGCAGAGAUUGAGGGAGGAGAAGCUUUAUGCAAAGUUCUCUAUGUGUGAGUUUUGGGUCAAUUCAGUGGCUUUCUUGGGGCACGUGGUGUCCAACGAGGACAUUUAGGUUGAUCUGAAGAAGAUAGAGGCGAUUCAGAGUUGGCCCAGACCAUCCUCAGCCACAUAGAUUCGCAGCUUUCUCGAUUUGGCAGGCUAUUAUCAUGGGUUUAUUUAGGGAUUCUCAUCUAUCGCAUCGCCCUUGACCAAGUUGACUCAGAAGGGUGCUUCAUUUGUAUGGUCGGACGAGUGUGAGGAGAGCUUUCAGAUGCUCAAGACAGCUUUGACCACAACUCCAAUGUUGGUUUUUCCAUCAGCUGUAGGUUCAUAUACUGUGUAUUGUGAUGCUUCGAGAGUUAGGAUUGGUUGUGUAUUGAUGUAGGAUGGUAGAUUUAUUGCUUAUGCUUCUCGUCAAUUGAAGCCCCAUGAGAAGAACUACCCCGUUCAUGAUUUCGAGUUGGCUGCCAUAGUUCAUGCGUUGAAUAUUUGGAGGUAUUACUUGUAUGGCGUAUCUUGUGAGAUGUUCACUGAUCAUCGCAAUCUUCAGCAUUUGUACAAGCAAAAGGAUCUAAAUUUGAGACAUCAUAGAUGGUUGGAGUUGCUUAAGGAUUAUGAUAUCACUAUAUUGUACCAUCCGGGAAAGGCCAAUGUGGUGGUCGAUGCUUUGAGCCGAAAGGCAGUAAGUAUAGGGCAUUUGGCAUAUAUUCUAGUUGGGGAGAGACCUCUUGUGGUUGAUGUUCAGGCCUUGGCCAAUCGGUUCGUGAGGUUAGAUAUUUCAGAGCCCAGUCGGGUAUUGGCUUGUGUGGUUUCUCAGUCUUCCUUAUAUGAUCGCAUCAGAGAGCGCCAGUAUGAUGAUCCGCAUUUGCUUGUCCUUAAGGACAUAGUUCAGUAUGAUGAUGCUAGAGAUGUGACCAUUGGAGAUGAUGGGGUGUUGAGGAUGCAUGCCGGAUUUACGUGCCCAAUGUAGAUGGGCUUCGCAAGUGGAUUCUGGAGGAGGCCCAUAGCUCGCGGUAUUCCAUUCAUCCGGGUGCCGCGAAGAUGUAUCAGGAUUUGAGGCAACACUAUUGGUGGAGAAGAAUAAUGAAAGAUAUUGUGGGAUUUGUAGCUCGGUGUCUCAAUUGUCAGCAGGUGAAAUAUGAGCAUCAGAGACCGGGUGGUUUACUUCAGCAGAUGGAUAUUCUUGAGUGGAAGUGGGAGAGGAUCACUAUGGACUUUGUUGUUGGAUUCCAUGGACUUUGAGGAAGUUCGAUGCUAUUUGGGUGAUUAUGGAUUGGAUGACCAAGUCCGCACACUUCAUUCCAGUGUGUACUACCUAUUCUUCAGAGAGGUUGGUAGGGAUCGAUAUUCGAGAGAUUGUUCGCUUGCAUGGUAUCCCAGUUUCCAUCAUUUCAGAUAUAGGUACUCAGUUUACUUUGCAGUUUUGGAGGGCCGUGCAGAGAGAGUUGGGUACUCAGGUGGAGUUGAGCACAACUUUUCAUCCUCAGAUGGACGAGCAGUCCGAGCGUACUAUUCAAAUAUUGGAGGACAUGUUGCGUGCUUGUUCAUUGAUUUCGGAGGAUCAUAAGAUUAGUUUCUACCACUUGCAGAGUUUUCUUAUAACAACAACUACCAAUCGAGUAUUCAGAUGGCUCCAUAUGAGGAUUUGUAUGGGAGAUGGUGUAGAUCUUCAGUUGGUUGGUUCGAGCCCGGUGAGGCAAGGCUAUUGGGGACAGACUUGGUGUAGGAUGCUUUGGAAAAGGUGAAGGUGAUUCAGGAGAGGCUUUGUACAACGCAGUCGAGGCAAAAGAUUUAUGCUGAUAGGAAGGUUUGAGAUGUGUCCUACAUAGUUGGCGAGAAGGUUCUGUUAAAGGUUUCGCCCAUGAAGGGUGUUAUGAGGUUUGGGAAGAAAGGGAAAUUGAGUCCUCGGUUCAUUGGGCCUUUUGAGGUGCUUCAGAGGAUUGGGGAGGUGGCUUAUGAGCUUGCUUUGCCACCCAACUUGUCGAGUGUGCAUUCGUUAUUUCAUGUGUCUAUGCUCCGGAAGUAUAUUGGGGAUCCGUCUCAUGUUAUGGAUUUCAGCACGGUUCAGUUGGAUGAUGAUUUGACUUAUGAUGUGGAGCCCGUAGCUAUUUUGGGUCGGCAGGUUGGAAAGUUGAGGUCAAAGGAUAUAGCUUCAGUGAAAGUAUAGCGGAGAGGUCGGCCCGUGGAGGAGGCUACCUGGUAGACCGAGAGGGAGAUGCAGAGCAUAUAUCCUUACCUGUUUUAGGCUUCAGUUAUGUUUCUUGAUUCGUUCGCAGACGAGCGUUUGUUUAAGUUGGGGAGGAUAUGACGACCCGACAAGUCGUCUCAUCAAGUACCACUCCGUUUCCCCCAUUUUUGCUUCUUUAUGCUUCGUUAUCCGUGUUUUAUGGUAUCAGGUUGGUCGGAUUGAGUCCGGAAUGAUUUUGGUAAGGUUUGAGACACUUAGUCUCUUUUAAGGAUGUUUGAGUUGGAAAAGUCAACCAGAUGUUGACUUAUGUGUUAGAGGGCUCGGAUGAGAGUUCCGAUGGUUUAGUUAGCUUCAGGAGGUGAUUUAUGUCUUAGGAGUGUUAUCGGAAUGAGUUUUGGAGGGUUGGAGUAGUUCUAGGCUUGAAUUGGGAAAGUUGAUAUGUUGGCGAUUUUCAGUUGAUAGGCGAGAUUUUGAUAUAGGGGUCGGAAUGGAAUUCCUAUAGUUACAGUAGUUCCAUUGUGUCAUUUGGGAUGUGUGCAAAAUUUCAGGUCAUUCGGACGUGGUUUGGUUAGGUUUUUGAUCAAAAGCGUAAUUCAGAAGAUUUUAGAAAGUUUGGCUUAAAUCCGAUGUGUUUUGGGUGAUUUGAUAUUGUUUGAGGUGUUUUGGUGAUUUGAACAAGUUUGAAUAAGGUUUUAGGAUAUGUUGGUGCCUUUGGUUGAGGUUCCGGGGGCCUCGGGUGAGUUUCGGGUGGUCAAUCAGAUCAUUUUUGGAGUUAGGAAAUUGCAGAAAAUUUGUUCAGUUGUUGCAGAGAUUUUACCCUUCGCAUUCGCGAAGAGGUAGUUGAGGAAGUCAAGGAUUAAGCCUUUGCAUUCAUGAGAAGGGAUUCACAUUCAUGGAGGGCUGGGAAGUGGUGCAUUGCGUUCGCGAGAAGGUCUUCGCGAUCACGUAAAGGAGUUUGGGUCAGAUGAGCUCGAGGUCAAGUAUUCAUCGCGUUCGCGGAAGGGUGAGCGCGUUCGCGAAGGGUAAGGUAGAGGAAGCAUCGCGUUUGCGAAGGUCAUAUCGCGUUCUCAUAGAGGAAAAGUUGGUCAAAGUAAGUUUGUGCUUCGCGAACGCGAGGGUUUGACCGCGUUCGCGAAGAAGGAAAUUAAGGCCUGGGCAGAAUGUUUUUAACUCGUCUUGUCCGCGAUUUUGUGGCUCAUUUCCUCCAUAGUUGGCCAUUUCUGGAGAUUUUCGAAGGAGAUUGAAAAGGGGUUCAAGGGGAAUUGUUGGUAGGUAAGUUUCUUGGGCUUAAAACUCGAUUAUUAUGUGAAUUGUACCUAGAAAAUCAGAGAAUCUAAGCCUAAAAUUGAAGAACUAGGGCUUGAAAUUGGAGACCAAACAUUUGGGAUUUGAAGGGUCAUUUGUGGAUGGAAUUUGAUGUUCUUGGCAUGUAUGAAAUCAUGGGGAGAUAAGAAAUCCGUUGAUGUGAAAAUUUUCAAAUUUCAAAUGUGGGCCCGGGGGUCGGGUUUUGGUAAUAUCGGGAUUUGUACCCUUUGUUGAUUGUUUUCACUUGGGCUUUGUUCCCUAAGCAUAUGUUGACAUACUCGUUCUGAUUUUGCAUAGAUUCGACGCGUGUGGAGGCCGAUUCGAGGGGCAAAGGCGUCGUGAGUUAGAGAUUUAGCUGGUUCGAGGUGAGUAAUGAUUGUAAAUGAUGUUCUAAGGGUGUAAAACCCCGAAUUGCACAUCGUAGUGCUAUAUUGAGGUGAGGCACACGCUCGAUGACGAGCAUGGGGUCGUGCACUAUUGGGGAUUGUUACUUUGUUCGUCCUGAUUGAUGAUUUUACCGCGUAUUUGAAUGAAAACUAUUUGCUAUCAUCAUUAUUUGGGCUGAGUGUCAUAUUUGGGCCUAGUGCCAACUAUUUGAAACUUUCGGGGAUUUUUAUUGAUAUUUCCUCACUGUUUUGACUUUACACUUGAACUCAGUCCUGUUAUUUUUCACGGUUUUCAUAUUCAGUCAUGUUUACUCAGUUUUAAGACUAAAAUGAUAUUUUUAAUGAUGUUUGGGCUAAUAAACAUUAUUUACUAUUGCCCGAGGGGCUUGUGAGUAUUUUUGACUGAGUAAGGCCGAUGGCCUAGUUGUGAGGAAACACUGAUAUUGAUUUGAGGCCGAGGGCCUGAGAUAUAUGUGCCACAAGGUGGCUUGAUUGAUAUGAGGCCGAGGGCCUAGUUUUUAUGCCACGAGAUGGCUUGUUAUUGUGCUUGGGCCUUAAGGGGCUCCUCCAGGAGCCUGCAAACCCCCAAUGAGUGCGGGUACCCAUUGUGAUGUGAGAUUGAGCCCCAGUGGCUGGUAUAGUUCUGUAAUGUUGCCCGAGGGGUGGAUUUGUUGAUACUGUGCCCGAAGGGUGAACUUCUAUAUGUUUACUUUACCUUAAUUACCUGUCCACUACUUGUUUACUUGUUGGAAGGGGAUUUUACUUGACUUUUCACUGUCUUACUGCUUUUACAUGGUUUUACUGCUUCAUUAUAGAAUGCAUUGUUCCUUACGUGUUUUCUUACUUUCAGUCGUUAUUUACAUUUGUUAAUCACUGAGUUGGAGUACUCAUUUUACUCCCUGCACCCUUGUGUGUAGAUUCAGGAGUUACUGAUCCUGCCAGUGCAAGUUGAGAGCUCUCGGCGGACAUUCGGAGUUCACGAGGUAGCUGGUUGACAUCCGCAGACGCGUGUUUCUCCCUCUUUAUCAUUUCUAUCUCAUAUCAGACUUUUGUACUAGUUGUAGACUUUUCAGACUUACAUUAGAUUUUAUAGAUGCUCAUGACUAGUGACACCCCGGUUAAGGCUAUGUUGGGUUGUACUUCCGCACUUUAUUGACAUUAUCCGCUACUUAGUAUUUCUAUAUCAUGUUUUAGAUUGAUUUUAUGUUAUUUGACUGUUUAAAAAGUGAAUAGGGUUUGAUUGGCUGGCCUUGUCUUCAUGAGAGGCGCCAUUACGACCGAGUUCAGGUAUGGGGUCGUGAUAGUUUAGAUACUUUUCUUUGUUUAACUUGACUGAUUCAGAGUUCUUACUUUUUAUAACUUAGCUUUGUUAAAACCCUAAUUUCUUAAAACUUUCCUCACCUGUUACUGUGAGCUUUUGAAGACUUCCUUUACUUAUUUCGGUGUGUUAGUGUGAUCUUCUCUAACUGUUGCUAUGUGUUAGAUUGUUUCCUUCAUUUUUGGUUCUAUGUGACUACUUGAAUUUGUUGACUGCCAUGCUUCAAGUAGGUCCCUUACUGAUGAGUCCUAGCCUACUCCUGUUACUGCUGUAUGUUUGUGUUCAUCUAGUUUCUUCCUUUGUCAAUAUGGUUGGCCUUUCAUGUCUGAUACUCUUGUUCAUUCUUCUCUAUUUAUAUGGCGAAGUGCAGAAUCAUGAUUCUUUCUUGAUUGAUCUUGAUUUCCUCAAAUUAGGACUGAUUGCAAGGGUUUUCUUAUAAACCCUUAAUUUUACUCAUUUGUUUAAUUUGAUUGAUUCCCUUCCUUUAUUUGCUGUGAUGUUUCACCCCUGCUGAAUCCCUUCCCCAAUUAAGUAUAUUCUGUACUUAGACUCAAUUGUAUACUCUAUAUUCUUACUAUCCCUUAUAUGGUCAGAAAUCAAUCUUCCUCAAAUUGAUUUUCUUUCCUUAAUUAUCCCUGUUAGUAUUCGUUAAGCAGUAAUUCCUUGAUUAAAGUGAGGUACUUGUAUUAAUUGAUUCUGAUUGUGAUUACUUCCAUAUUUGUGCUAAACUUUACCUGUUACCUUAUUUUCUACUCGUUUUCAAAUCUAUAAAUACCCUACCCUCUCUUCUCAAAAGGACAAACAACUGAGUUCAAAAACACACACUUACACAUUCAAACUCUCUUUCUUUCUCUACUACUUGUGCUAUUGCCUUGUCUAGCCAUUGAAAGCCAAGGCUAGACUUUGGAAUUCUGAUUACUUUACUUUUUCUGCACUUUGCUCCUUCAACUAGUAUGUUUUUAAUUUAAAUUCUAAAACUCAACUCUAUGUGUUCCCUUGUUUGUCAAUCCUUGUCUCUUUUUGCACUAACUUAAUGGCUCAUGCUGUUGAGUUGUACUAUUUGUUUAUUGCUUUACUCAGCAUGCUUAAAAUUCUGCCCUCCUUUGUUCAAAUGUGAUCAGCAUAUUUACUUGUUCCUGUUUAUGUCCUUCAACUAGCAUGUCUAUAAUGUACCUAAUUUAUGACUAAUUGUGUGUUUCUGAUUUGGGUCCUCUAUGUCCCCAACCCCUACUCCCCUGUUUGUAAUUGCUGAAGCAUGUAAUUCUCUUUGAACUUGUUCUAUGUGUGUUGUUAUUGCUCCUACCCCUUUCCCUUUCCAAAACUAUUUUAUUAGGUAAUUCUUCUGCUAUUUUACAAACUCACUUCAAACAUGUUGUUUCUAAAACUAUCUUCCAACUCAACUCCUUUGAGUCAAUGUCCAGCACUCUCACAUGCACUCUUAUAUCAUUAGGUUUUGCCUCUCUUAUGUGAGCCUUGCUUUGGGACCCUUGAGCUCCCUCUGAACCUGGACACAUAAGAGCUGGACCUUCCACACUGCACUUAUUCUUGGUUAUGCAAUCUGGGUGUGAGCACUACCCGGGAUCCCUCGAGGUCCUUAGGGAACUCUGACAGACCCAGAUAUGAGAAAGGCUUUGGAACAAUAUUGGCUUUUGAGGUAGUUGAUCACAUAACUCAGAGAGGAAGUCAGGAUAAGGCUUCCUAUGGUUGUAACUUCUUAUUUUUGCAUUUUUCUUGUGUAAUUCAAUCAUAUGGUCUGUAAUAAUUUGUAAACAAAUAUUGGGGUGGUUAGUGAAAAAGGAUGGGGAAAUAUGCAUGCUAUAGUUAAAGGGUAGAAAACAUGUUAUUAGGUUUAUAUUCCAAGUUGUGCAAUAGAAAUCAUGUUUAGGACUCAUACAAUGCAUUAGAAAUCAUAUUCUUAGGAUUCAUGUUUCCUGCUUUAGCAUCUUAUUCGUUAAUCCAUGCUUCGUGUCCAACACUUAGAAAUCCUGCUUCUAGGACGAAUAAAUAAAAACUGUUACUCAUGAAGUCGUUUCUUAAUAAUUCUGCAACUCUUUUGUAUAUUUAGAAAUCAUGCCUUAGGAACUCUGCCAUCUGCAUGUGCAUAUUAUAUAUCAUGUUCUAGGAUCCUGUUUGCAUUUUGUUGAAAACACCUAGUUAAUUACUUUAUCAUGAAAAAGGUAGUAAGGUAAUAGUUUUCACAUUGUAAAGUUUCUGAAUAACUGGUAACAAUCUCUACAACUAGAACAUCAUGUCUUAGGUAAUAAUAAGCUCCAAGCUGUCUUAGCAAUUCUGAAUAACUACUAAAUACUGCUUACACCUAGGCAAGCCUUAGGUAAUGACUCAAAUAAAACUGGAACUGCCUUUGUUUAAUUAUCGACUGUCAUAACUAGUAGGCAGGCUUGAUUCAGACUUUUUUUCUGAGUCAUGUGAUAAAUCUGGUUCUAACUUAAAUACCCUGCUUUAGGAUUCUAAAUUCAGACCUUAAUUGUGUAUAAGUCAUGCUGCCUAUGUGCACUGUUUGCGGAGGUGUAACUGAGCCUUCUAUUUGCUUAUAUGUUUCCCUAUAAUUGCAGUCUUACAUGUUUUGUAUGUCGCUUUAUCAUUUUUACCUUUAAACCUGAGGGUCUGCUUAGAACCUCCUUCUUAUAGGAAUAAGAGUCCUAAAAUUCCUCCGGGACUAAUAGGAAGGGACGGGUAACAACAUGCAAUAGUGGUCGAGACUAACCCUCGCUUUAAUUAUCUUCACAGGGUAGGAAGGGUAGAUAUGGAUAUGAUGAUCGGUGUGCUAAUACCAAGUAUAUCCCCUCUUCUGAGGAGUGUCAUACUGGGUAUUACAUUGAUGUGAUCCAUAUUACAAACAAACCUAGGACCCCUUUACAUUCAUAAGCAUGCUUAGAUUAUAACUCUUUUUCAAAGACCUAUUUUUAUUAAUUGUUUUCAAACGCAUGUAUAUUUAAAUCCCCUAUUAUUUGAGCCCUACUUGUUUGUUUGCUAAUUGCAUAAAUUCACAAAACUGUCUGGCCUGGAACCACACUAGUGGAUCCUGAGGGGUGCUUAACACCUCCCCCUUGGGAUAAUUUCAAGCCCUUACCCUAUCUCUGGUUAUCAAAACGUAGUUGUAGCUAAACCUUGUAGGUACCCUAAUGCACUUUAAAAUCGUUAGGUGGCGACUCUUCAAAAACAAAAUACCUAAUUCCCAAAAGGAAAUGAGUCAUUAUACCACAUGAAUGUCAAAACCCGGACCCCUCUCCGCGGAGGGAAAAAGAGGGCGUGACAACAUGGCAACUCUGCUGGGGAUAUUUAGGCUUUUACCAUUUCAGAUUGUUCUUGUGAAUUUGUACCCCUCCCUUAUGUGCAAUUACUUGUUUAAUUCCUUUAAGCAUUUAAUUUAUUUUUCAAAAGCGAACUGACAUAUCUUCUUUGUUUCCUUCCUUUAUUGCUGCUUUAAAUUAUAAAACUGCUGUAUUUAUUGCUUUCUUAACGUGCAAAUACAUGUCAACAUGCUUUUAAUUAUUGCAUAAUCAUGCUCAACAUCAUACUCUACUAGUGCCAAACAAAUACUAUAGCAAUGCUUGAUGAGUGGUUGCGCUCUUCCUAUAUCAUUACUCCUAAAUUCGGAAAGACAUAUUUGCGGUAAAACUAGUCGAUCAGUGGUGCAGUCGACCGUUCCGUGCCUUGCCCCUUGAGUUGUCCGCUCAAGGGUACCAGUCUAAAACCCCAUAGAAACCUUACUUUGUUUAAAUUGUGCAUGUAUCAUGAUCAAACCUAGCUGGGUCAGUUAUGUUGUCCACAUAAUAAUCCUUUAAGAUAGCCUUGUCCAAAAGUCCACUGGGUUUUCCUAAACCCAAACGGACAUCAUCAUGUUCUGUGCAUUUAUUUGGAGAACUAAAUGCGUCAUGCUAAUUGUUGGUGUAUAAAUAGUCGAGUCUGGUGGGGGUAAAUGGCCUAACCUUAUUUGUCUUGCAGAAAAAUGAGGCACGAGGUCCCUAGUUUUGGUAUGAUUAGCACGUCCCUACUCUUGCUAGACUGGUGGAGGAGUCUUUCGUUAAAUGACCAAAUCAAUGAGUGGAAAGAGAGGGCCGCCAAAGCUAGCGAAAAGUUGGAAUAUCUGGAAUAUAGUCUGCUGGAAUUAGAAGGAAAAGUGAGGAAGAGAGUCACCGACUACCAGAACACUGAGGGAAUCGAAGGAGAACACUUAGCAAAGGCAUUUUUACUGGUGAACCUACGUGAACUGGAGGAUUUGAUCAACGAGAGCAUUCAACAUGAGAAAGGUCCUUCUAGGACCAAAUAGAUAGGAAUUUAAGAGGGAGCAUAGCGAAUUUGUAUUACAUGGAAUUGGAGGAAAAACAAUUUUCUCUCUCUAGAAUGAAAUUCCCUCUCAACGAAAGCUGGAAAUGAUGAGGAAAUCUAAAGCUAGAGGAGAAAGACAACAAAGUCAGGAGAGUGUUCAACAAUCAUUCAAUGCUAGAAUUGGAGUCCCAAACUCAGCUGAUGCGAAGAAAACUCGGAGCAUCAACGUGCUACAAAGAAUCACUGCGUUAGAGUUAAAUAAGGCAGCGAUGGAACAUGAAACACCAGUGAAGCUCAUGCAUGGAGGUGCGAUAAACCGUCAUGGGAAGAUAUCGUAGAGAAUGAAGUAGAACAAGAAGGUACGUUGGGGGUUGAACCUCAAAUUGCACCUAAAAUGAGGUUAUGGAGCAGAAUUGUGGCUAAUAUUCCUGAUGUAGAUGAAUUAGAAUUGAAAACUAAUGAAUCUACAAAACAAAAUGUUAAAAUAACUAUGGAGGAUAUCAAAGAGGAAGUAGAGUAUUGGAGUAGUGCAGUAAUUUGUUGUGUACUUGGAUGUAAUCCACCUCCAGUAGUUAUGAAUGACUAUUUUCAUAGAAUCUGGGGGAAAUUGGGAAUAGACAAGGCAGCUUAGGUUAACAGAGGUGUAUUUUUGGUUAGAUUUACGCAAGCUGAAAGUAGAAUGAAGGUGUUGGAAGAUGGAGUCCAGAUGUUUGAUAAAAAGCCUGUCAUCAUAAAGCCUUGGUCACCAGAUGUAGACACUAGAAAUGAGUCAUUCAGUAUUGUGCCAAUAUAGAUUGGGCUCCCAGGGCUGGACAUCAAGUACUGGGGGAAGAAUGCAUUGACAAAAAUUGUGGGAAUAGUGGGUAAACUUCUAAAAGCAGAUAGAGCCACAACAUGGAAGGAGAGGAUGAUAUUUGUCGGAGUGUUGGUGGCAGUUAUACUAGACCAACCUUAUCCACAAAGCAUAAUGUUUGAGAAUGAAAUAGGGAAAAUCUUGAACAAAAGGUGCAUUAUGAGUGGAAGCCAACACUAUGCAAGGAAUGUAACAACUAUGGGCAUGAGAUGGUAGAGUGUAGGAAGCAUAUUCAGGCAGAAAAAUAGAUGGCAAGUAUAAAAGAAGGGGAUAAACAGAAUAAGGCAGAAAAGGAAAGGGAGCAGAACAAAGAAGGAAAGUAGGAAGGAAGCCAAAUGCAGAAUGGAAGGGAACAAAAUACUAGUGAAAACCAGCACAACAAUGUAAUGGAUGGGGGUAAACCAACAUACAUACAGAAGGGAAGUAGAGCACAAAUAGGGAAGGAUAUAACCAGGAACAUCAUCAACUUAGAGAAUUCUUUUGGUGCAUUGGGAGAGACUAGUAACCUGGGAGUAGUGGAGCAGGGGAAGAAUGGAACUUGGAAGAAGAUGGUAAAUGGAGAAGGAGAACAAAUAUUGGGGAAGGGAGGAAGCCCUCCCCCAGGAAAUGGAUAGUAUAGGUUUCUGGAACACCAGGGGGAUAAAUAGACUAGCAAAGCUGAAGAAAGUUAACCUGUUUCUGCAACAAUGUAAAGUUAGUCUAUUUGGGCUCCUGGAAACAAAGAUUAAGAGGAAUAAUGCUCAAAAGGCUAAUCUUAAUCUUUAUAAUGAAUGGUCUUGAACAAACAACUUAGAGGCUCAUCCGGGGGGAGGAAUUUGGAUAGUAUGGAAAACUGCAAUCAUGCAGGUGCAAAUUGAGUUUGUAUCUGCACAAGUAAUUCACUGUGCAGUAAUGUACAGUGGUAAUGGAGCAAAAUUUUAUGUCACUUUUGUAUAUGGAUUCAAUGAUCCAGCUAUUAGAAGGCCUUUAUGGUAAUAGGUGAGGGAUAUAAAAAGGAGUAUAAAUGGACCAUGGGCUUUGAUGGGGGACUUUAAUUGUGUUCUGAAUAAGGAGGAUAAAAUAGGGAGACCAGUUACUAUGGCUGAGAUAAGGGAAUUUAGAUAAUGUAUAGAAGAAUUUGGUCUUCAGGAGUUGAGGUCCUCUGGGGCUUUCUUUACAUGGAAUAACAAACAAUAAGGGGAGGAAAGGGUAUAUAGCAUAAUAGAUAGGGUAGUGGUGAAUUCAGACUGGAUCACUGCAUCGCCAGUCUCAGAAGUGCACUACAUGAAUGAGGGACUAUAUAAUCAUUGUCCUGCUAUUGUAAACUAGGAUAAUGGCAAAGGAAAUCAGAGAAGGCAAUUUAAAUACUUUAACAUGUGGAAAAUGGCUGAUGAUUUCAAGGAAAGAGUUAAACAUAGUUGGGAAGCAGAAAUAGCAGGCAACAAAUUGUUUAAGGUGAUAGGCAAAAUGAACAUAUUGAAGGCAAUCUUGACAAAACUGAAUAAGAAAAGGUUCUCAAUUAUUGAAAGGAAGGCUGAGCAUGCUAUGGAAGAACUGAAGAGAUGCCAAACAGAACUGCAAGGUGAUGAAAGAAAUAAAGAAUUAAUUGAAAAAGAGAUCUACUUAGCACAAGAAUACAAAACUUGGGGAGAAGCUAGAGAACUAUUUUUGAGGCAGAAAAGUAGAAUGUUAUGUCUCACUCAAGGGGAUCACAACAAAAAUACUUCCACAAUGCAAUAAAGGAGAGAAGAGGUAAGAAUAGAAUCUUCUCAAUUAUUGAUUCUCAAGGGGUAACUAGAAGAGAUCCAGACAAGAUUGCUCAGGCCUUUAUAGAAUUCUACAAAACGUUACUUGGAGAAAAAGAUGAGAACAUGAAACAUGUGUGUAGU
rnacentral:lncRNA from 1 species